UACCUUCGUACACAAUUACUCAAUCCACCGUAAGGCUCUUUAAUAGGAAACAAGUGUGACAACGGCAAGCCUCUUUUUUUUUUCUUUUCCCUCCUCCCUCCUAAACCACAGAGUCAAAUAGCUCUAAUAGAGAUGAAGCUUGAUAGAUCCGCCCAGGUGUAGGUGAAAUGGUAGAGCCUCAGGGGUAAUAGAUGCUGUGCUCUCCUGCUGAAGUUUAGCACUUUGUCCUGACUGGCUCACUAGCAGCAGUGCCAUGGGCUGCUCCUUGUACAGUUAGAAAGUCAACAUGCUUCUUGCCGCUCACUUUUAUGCCUAAUCCGGAGGGCAACCUGAAGCUAGGUAAGAACUGCAGAACAGCCCUUUGACUUCAGCACAUGGACAAAGGACAACAAAUGCAGUAAGUAGAAUAUUUAUCUUUCCUUCUUUUACUUGGGAAUUCAUUAAGGGUGUUUACUCUCAGGGAAUCCUCUAAAGACUGUGCAAAAAUGAACCAGCAAAAAAACCUGUGUUCAUAACCCUGUGGAUUUCCUCCAGUUUCGUUUUGCACAGUGCCCUGGCACUGUCACUGCAGCUUAAAUACUCCAUGAGUGAUUCCUCAUUCAGAAGGUCUUGAAACUGAAAUGUGGUGCUAAUAAUAAUGCUAAUUCAAGCCCGGAGCCUGGCAUAUUAACUGCUAUUUCUGGGUGAAAUAUCCUUUAUUACUGUCAAAAAUGAUGGUGACAAGUGCUUUGUCACAGUUCUGAGAAUAGAAAAAAUAAUGUUUACAAAGCUCAAACCCUUUUUUGAAAAUGGAUUUCGGCUUUUAUGCAUGACUAUAUUGUUACAUCAUUGUUGAUACAUUAAUGUGAGGAAUUUUCCUGUAAUUUUGGCUUAACAAAUUCAUUCUACAGAUUUGACUCUCGCCAAAGAAGUGAUCCUGAAAACUCUAAAGGCAGAAUUAGAUUGUAGCAACAAUGACAAUGAUAAUGCUUUUUGUGAAACAAAACAAAACAAAACAAAAGGUCAUUUGUCUAAUAGCCUAGGAAGAGCUAUUAAAACCAGAUGUGGGAAAUCUCAACUUUGACUUUUUGGUCUUUCAUGCUUGGUUUAAAGCAGCCUUCACAUUGCGUUUACUUUGCAUUUACAACUUUGGAUUCACCAUUAAACUAUGUUUGAACUUGAAGUUCAGAUUUGAUCUAAGUAGAGCCGUGUUCCUUGAGCCCUCCACUCUGAAUUUUACUUGGCUAUGGGGAAUCUUUUUACUACUACACCAUAUAUCUUGAAUUGUGUUAACAAGCUAACUGCGGUGGACUUUCAGGUGGAGUGUCAGGCAGUGUAGAAGAAUGUGUUUGCUGUUCAAAUGGAUGAUGCUCUGCGUAUGAAAUAAACACAUAGAACACAUGCCCUUACAAAGACUCCAGUUAUGAUACUUAAAUUAAUCCUUCAGGAAAAGGAUGCAAUAAAACUUACCACAACAAUAUAUGUAUUUAUGAUCUCUUGAGUUGAUUUUUAAAAUUUUUGUUAUGUACUUGAAAAAUGAGUCUGAAUGGCGUUGUCAUCUCAAAAGACAAUACACAUGUUUAGAGUCUUGAGACAGGCAAACUUAAACAAAACACUAUCACAUUGUUAAAGUAAUUCCCCAUUGGCCAGUGUUUUGUUUUUGUUUUCUAACUAUUAUAGAUGGACAUCAUUGAAAAUGAUGAUUUAAAAUCCAUGACAGUAGAAUUCUGAUGACUCCUUUGUGUAUAUUCAAAAAUGAUUUAGCCUGGAUAAAGUUGCUGCUAUGAGAGGUUUAAUUAAUUACUGCCAGUUAAAUAUAUUUCUUUAAGAAUUGCAUUUGACAUUACUGAUGGUGGAGUAAAUGCAGUUUAAAAGUCAUUCUUCAUGAAAUACUUUAACCGACAAUUGUUGGCAUUGAAUAGCGGUCAAUGUCUACCCCCUACAGGGAGAGAUUCUAAUUUCACUAUGCUUUCCUCAGUACAUGAAUACCACAGAGUACAGUUCACACAUAUGAAUGCUGUAACCGUGUCAAUGACUCCAACAAGUGCCCCUUAAUGGAAAGGUCAGCCCUGUGAUUAAUAGGAAGCCAGUUUCAAAGGCUGGACCUCACUUCAGCACUGCAUUUAAAUUUCUUUCUUCUUGAUUUAUUCAUCUGCUUUUCAAAGUGUAAUAAAAAUCAAGUGGUCCAUACUGCACAUUUCUAAUGCAUGUGACUAUUUUCAUACAUGAGCAACAACAUCAAAUAGUACAUGAAGUUGAGCAAAAAAAUAAUAAUAAUAAAGUGAAAAAUUGUUCAAGCUAAUAAUUGAAAGCAUAGAAUGAUAAAUGGAAAUUUCACUUUUCAUCUAAAUAGUUUAUAUAGCCCUUCCUCAAGUUUCAGUUAAUUUAAUAAACCUUUAGGGGCACUGUGAGGGUAUAUGUGGUGUGUGACAGAAGAAGGCUUGGUGUUUCAUCUAAGUUUAUUAUGAUUAAAUGCUGGCUGUGUGCUGACAAUAUACGCAGGUAACUCAUGAAGAUAAUGCUUUUUCACUAAUGGCAGAAUUCAUUGCAGAAAUUUAGCACAGUAGAGAUGAACAAAAGAAUUAUAAACCUUUGAGAAGCCCAAGAAACUAUAAUGGAGUUUUUGUUAUAAUCUGUUUUGUGAAAAAGGUAUAAUGGUAGUUAUAAUCUUUCCAUCAGGACUUGUGCUGGGAAAACUUAUGGCUAAGUCCACUGUGAAAUUUUUUUUAAUGAUUUUUGACUGCUAUUAUAUUUGCUAAUAAGUAUGCUAAACUUAAGGCAAUUCAUAAUUUAGAUGGUCCUUAAAUAAGAGCUUUUAUAUUUUCAUUGUGUUUGUUUCAUGAUUCAGGGCUUUACCCACCCAUGUUUUCAAAUAAGAUUGCAAUAUGAGAAAUCAAGUAAUACAAACAACAUAAUAUACUGUAUUUAUUACACAUGAAAAUUUCCGUAUGCCAAGAGGAAAUUUUUUAGAAAUCAUCGUUUAUUUCAAUUUACCCUAAGGAAUAUUCUCUUUCAAAUAACUUUUUAACCCUAAAUCAACACAAAGUGUAAAAAGUCCAUGUGCAAUUAUAAUAAAGGAAUAAUAUUACCCAUCAAGAUAGAAAGUAUAGAACAAAGAAUAGCCCAGUUUUGAAUGUCAAUACUUCACAAAUGGAGCUUCCAAAGACUACCCAAUGAGAAGACAAUGUAGUCACCUCUGCAUAGCAGGCACAGUGCCUCCUUGAUGGCCUCACACUUCACCAAUGCCCACAGCUGUGUCAUCAGGUCCUCUUCUAGUCAAGGCAUCAUUUUUGCUCUGCAUUGGAAGUUGACAACUUCCAGAAAGGGUUUUAAUGAAAAACAUUGUUUGGGUACCUACAAAAUACAGGGGACAGUAUCCUCAGUGCUUUCUAUCCAUGAUAUACCUCAUAGUCCAAUAAAGUAUGUAUUGUUUCUACUCCAGUUGAUAAAAGUAUAAAUAAAGUGGUUACGGGAUAUGGCCCGUUACACAUCUCUGCUAAUAAGUAGUGGAGCUUAGGUUCAAAUUAACUUUGCCUGAAGGCAGAUACCUCAUCUGACCAUGAGGUCUGCAUGAUCUCUGGUCUAACAGUACAAAGCUGAUUUUAUCUCUGGCCACUUUAUCAAGACUAGGUGAAUUUGGAAAAGGGUUCAUAAACAAAAAUUGAUAGCAUGCCCACUAGAACAAAGCUUAAAUAGUUGAAUGUCAGGUAAGAGUGAGUCUGAUCUUACUUCUAGUUACAUCAUCCUGCAGAACUUGUAGACCCUACUAUUUUCCAGAGGUCUCCUACAGGUAAAGAAGGAGUUGCAGUUAAAUCUCAGAAAUGGGAAGAAGAGGUAGUGUUUCUGUUCUCCCUCAAUUGCUAAGUUUCCUUUCCUGUUAGUACUGGGUCUGACAAGAAUUUAUCUCUUCAGGGUUAUUUCCAACUAGGCUAAAGCUUUGCUAAGAAAACUAAUUACAAUAGUCUCUCAUUCAGAUUUAUCUAAUCACCUUCCCACCUGCAAGGAAGAAAGUGAGCUGACAGACACCCUCAAGGAUUUUCAGCCUUCCAUUAUUCAAUAGAAACACCUGGACAUUUUUUUUCCAAGAGAUAUAAUGCUAAUUAUUUUUUCCUUUAUUUGUAUAUAUAUUUGUGUGUGUGUGUGUGUGUGUGUGUGUGUGUGUAUUCAGUCAUGCAGACACAUAGCCUGGAAAACAAAUCUUCACAAGAUUUCAUUUGAAAUACAGAAUUUCCUAGGACCUGCAUCUGUGGUAUGCCUAUCUGCUAAAACACUUUCUCCCUAAUUCAGACAUUUAUUGACAUGGUUGAGAUUCUUUGUGAAGAGAUUGAAAAUAAAAUAUUUGUGACAAAAAAACCCUUGUAUUUCAUGAUAUAACUUUAACAUAAUGUGUCUGUGUAUUCUCUCUCAAAUAAAAGAAAAAUGUUCACUUUACAGAGAUUUUAAUCUUAUUUUAAUAGUCUAUAUUACCCAAAAUUUUAAACCAAGGUGUCAUUUACUUUUAUAAAUGUAAGAACGUUUAUAUAAGGCAAAUGAAAUGAAUAUGAGGAAAUUACUUCAAAAUCUAAACCACCUUAACUUAUUUUCUUAAAAAAUGUAAGUUGAAUUAAAUGUUCCUUUAAUUCUCAUAUUUCCUUUGGUUUUGGUAAAAGCUGUUUAAUAAAGGUAUUUAAAUGUGAUUGGCAUUUAUAAAACCAUAGACUACUCUUAUAAGAGAAAAGAGAGGAAAACAAGUGAUUUUUUAAAACCUAAUCUCAAGAUUCUGGAAGAAUGAAUAUAUGGUGACAGGAUCUGAAAGCUCUAAAUACCUUGAGGAUUGAUGAUUACUUAAAAACAGUGGUCAAAGACUUCCUCUAUCACUAUCAUUAGUCAAAGAGAUCAACAGGCUAACUCCGUGAAGUUAAUCUUUUACUAAUAAAUCUUUUUUGUAUUAUCCAGUAACUACUUCAUGUUUAUUUGUGUGUCUCUCUCAUUCUCUCCCCCUACCCAACCCUAUCUCUCUCUUUCCCCCUAACCUCACAUUCCAAGCCUUCCACAGAGCACCUGUCUAAAAGUAGUUCUUACUCUGGUCACUUGUGGCUGGUGCUCCUAAGAAAUAAUUGGGAACCUUACAGACCUAGACAUUGUGGUGGACAGUUCCACUCAGAUCUGGGGAGGGGUUAUCUCUGCUCAAUUCUGUGUUUUCCUACAUUCCAAAUCCCCAGUGGGCACUCACAACAUUCAACUAAGCUCAUGAUCCUUCCUUCAUACAGAGGCCUCUUACUCCUAGUACACCUACACAAGUCGAACUCUUGGCCAUUUCUGCAACCCAAAUUCAAAAGUGUUGGUCUCUACUAUUGCUAAAUAUUAAAUAUUUAUCUUCAUUCUAGGCCCACUGAAAUAUGUACCCUAUUUUGAAGCCUGUCUGUGAAUCUUUAAGUUUAUUAUGAAGUACACAUUAUCAUUGCUUUUUCAUAGGUGUGUAUAAAUCAGAACUCAAAAGAGUUUAUAAUUAGCAGUCAUCUUCACUUUUGUUUUAUUCCUUAGUAUUAUACAUUUCAAAUUACUUCUGUUACAGAUUUGAGAAUUUAUAAAAUAUAAGCUUAAAAAAGAACUCUUUCUUGGAUCAAAGAAUCACUUCUCAAAACAUUUUCUAAUCUAUAAACUUAAGGCAGGGUUCAUAUUUGAUUAAUACUGUUUCUUGAUGAUUCUCUUCCCUGUACCCAUUUCCAACAAGUUAAAAAAGGAAACAAAGUUAAAACAAAAGACCUAAUUCUUUACAAUCUGAAAGUAAUUCUACAAUCCUAAACCCUUGAAUUAGGCUUGGUUUUAAGCCCAAUCAUAUCCAAUAUUGUUUUGACACAUGGUUAAGACAAUAAAAAUUGUUGCUUCUGGCAAGAACUUCUUAAAAUUCACAUAAAAUAUUGACUUGUAUUGUCAUUCUUACUCUCAAGUACUCCAUAAAAUAGAUUGUAUAGUGUAACAUUGAUCUUUUUCACUUCUGAAAUUAUGAUAGAAGUAUAUUUUAUCAAAACCAAUUUUUCUUAACAAAAUAUUUAGCUUACACAACAUGAAAAUUUGGGUGACAGAAAUUUAUAUGCAAACAGUUCUAUUUCCUUUAGGACAUAAAAACAAGUCUAUGUGGAUAAAAACAGAGAAGAAACAUUAAUUCUGUAACUACUAUGUUUGUGGGAUCACAUUAGCUUAAUUAUAUUCAUAAGCAAAAGUAAAGUUGUCACUUCCAUUUUAUAGAUGAACAGUGUGUUUUAUUUUCUUGACUUAAUGAAUAAUAUUAAACCUAUAAAAAUCAUUCAAGUGACUAAUAUUGAAAGCAGCAGAUGUGUUCAAAUGUCAAGAUGUCCACAUUAUGCAGAUUGUGAUAGAAAUUGUUUUUAUUAUAGUUCUGGUUUCUUGGCCUGCCUUAAAAGCAUUAGUGUUGCCAUUACUUUGACUCUAGAAAAAUCAGGUAAUGCUGUUUCUUUUGUAAUACAUCUUUUUAUCACACUUUUGUGUAAAUGCAGAUACUAAAAUGGUUUUAUCAGUGGGAAAUGAUAUACUUUUGUAUCAAACCUUAUUUUAUUUCAUAUUCUUAAAGUAUAUCCAUUAACUUCCAUGUUAUAAUAAUGUAGUAAACACUUUCUCUGUGUGUUUGAAAGUGAAUAAGUAACUAUCUGCAUGUAUUUAUAAAUUUUUUUUAUUUGGCAAGAUUCUAUUAUAUAUAUUUGCACAGUAAAGACUGUCACAUAAAAAUUAUUUUGUUUUAUGGACUUUAUUUUGUUUAAUUUUAAUCUUUUUUAGUUGUAGUUGGACACAAUACCUUUAUUUAUUUAUUUUUAUGUGUUGCUGAGGAUCAAACCCAGUGCCUCUCACAUGCUAGGCGAGCACUAUACCACUGAGCCACAACCCCCGGCCUUAUUUUAAUUCUUUUAAGAAUUACAUCACAAGCUUUUGUUUGCACCAACAAGAAAAAUAUGCAUUUUGAAUGUUGUUUCCAGUUUUACCUUGGCCUAUUAGAAUUUACAUUAUGUAAUAUGUAACUUUAAAUAAUGACUAUAACUACCAAGACCAUUACACAGAGGUCUUCUAUAUUAAUUAAAAGAUGUUUAAACCACAGUAGUAUUGACAAUUUUCAAAUUAUAUUAGAAAUUUUGAACUUUAAUUUUUGAUUAUGACAAAGCCCCAUUUUUUUUUUAUUAGUAUGGCUUGGAUAGUGUGUUUCUCCAAAGUCUUUUGGACUCUCCUAAGCAGCCACAAGCUCUCUCACAAAGCUAUUGGCCAUAUUUGUUGUGCCUACAUCCAUGCGGAUGGUAUAAGGAAGAACCACAGACUACCAGCAGGGCAAUAUCAGCAGCUCCACUUCAGGACUUCUUUAUAGCAGUCUAAUAUCUCAGUGAAAGCAGACAAGGUCAAAAGGAGACAGGUUUGGGGCACCCUAGUUUAAAAGCUUCCUUUCCUGUAGAUACAGAUAGCUUUUCCAACAACAGAAACACAGCUUUUAGGAUUCUUGAAAGGGGCCCUUUCAGUGCAAAUAGCCACAAUAUUCAGGGAAACUCAGGCUUGCUUUCAGGUUUAUAGCUUUCCUCGUCCUGAUUCAUUGUAGCCAUCAAGAGUCAUUUUUAUCAUAGGUAAAUCUUCCUAAAAUACAGCAGACAUUCUGAUUUUUACUGAUUUUCAAGUGGAGUAAGUCUAGACAGUUAACAAAAGAUCAAAUUAUCACAGAGAAGGGGAAAAUAUACUGUUAGUUCUUUAUCAACAGGGGGAUAACAUGGAGGUUGAGAAGAUUAAUUUUAAGAACUAGCAUGGCCUUUUUCUCUUCUGUCUACAAAUCCAGACUGUGCUUUAGUUUAUGGUUAUACUUGUUGCACAUAAACCUGCCUUCAUUUAUAGUUUUGUUUUUGUAUGCACAGUAUUGUAAGCAUUUCUUCCCCUUCCAUAAACACUUCAAAUUACAUGCACCUAUACACCAACAUUACAAAGGGCUGUAAAAGGUCUGGUUUUGUUAAUUAAAAAUUUCAAGAUUUUUUUGUCUUAUUUUUACUAUACUCGAUUAUGACAGGUUGAUACUGCAUCUAAAAGACUAAAACUUGGAAUUGUGUAACUUCUGAAAAUAACUGAGGCUUCACGAAGGAUAAGCCUAGAUUUACUUCCAAAACUCAGUAUGCUGGUUCUCGAGCACUAUCUUUGCAAGGGGAAGAGGCAGUAAGAGGAACCAGGUAUAGUCUCUCAGUUGUGAUCAUGAGAUUGUCAUAUAUGGCCCUGGCUGAGGACAGCAUGCCUUAGGGGAAGGAAAGGAAGUAGCAGGAACUCAGGCUUUUUUGAAGGGCAUCUGUGUCAUGAACAGAUGAUACCUGCUGAGUUCCUACAAUUAUGAUCAUCACUGUUUAAGGACUAACUCCAGCUAUUUUUCCAGACAGGGCUAUGGGCAGAGUAGGCUUACAACUUUUUGGAAGGAUUUGUUGCUGAUGCUAAUUAUUAGAUUUUAAAAGCACCAAAUAAGAUUUGAAAUAACAGAAUUUAAAUGAAUGAAUACUAAUCUGUGAUGCAAAUUCAAUCUAUUAACUUACUGUUUAGAAAUAGAUAUUAGUUAUAUAAUUGCAUGAUGGGUAUACAUUUUUGUAUGUAUAUUGUUUUAUAAUGAGUAGAGAAUAAACCAAAAAUUCAGAGAUUUUAUUUUCAGUAAAGUCCAAAUACGUAGCAAGACCAUGGACAGUUAACUGAUAGUACUUGAAAACUUAGUACUACUAAUAUUAUUAGUACUAUCUUUAUAUUUUUAUCUAUAAAUUAAGAAGUUCAAAAUGGACAAUGUAUACAGUUUCUUUUGUGUCUCAUUUUUAAGAAGUGCAGUAUACAAUUUUAUGUACAAUUAAAACAACAUUGAUCAACACUAAGACAUAAAACAAUUUAAAAACAAACGUAAGUAGAAGAUAUAUUACUCUCAUAAGGAUGUGAGUUAAUUUUUAAACACAUCUUCUUUAUACAAUGCAUUUUAAUGACUUAAAGUCAGUCGUGACAGAAUUAAUAAACUACUCUUGAGAAUAAUUAAAUAUCCUCAAGUUACUUGAAUACUGAAAAAUGAGGGCAUUGAUUCAGUUAAUUUUUCUGGCUUCUGUUAAAUGCUUAUUAUGAAUUAAAGAAUUAAAAUGCAUUUCUUGCACUUUAAAUAGAUAAUAAUUUGCCUUUUUUCUAUUAAAGCUAAUUUUUUAUUCUGUCAAACUAUAGACACCAUAAUGAAAUGGAGACAGUGCAAUGUAAUUAGCUGAAAAGAGUGAACUUAAUUUAUCUUGCAUUAUGUGUAAUAGGGAAAAACAUAUAAAACCAUAUUAAGCCUUACUUAAAGAAAUAGAAAAAUAUAUUUCAAUUAUCUCACAUUUCUUCUUAAAAUCUGAACUAUAAAUCUUUGGAAUUGUUGUCAGAGAUUUAUGAAGUUUCUGUUAGAUCUUUUUUCUACUAUAAACUACAUUUCUUAUUUAAUGGAUAUUCGGUUUCAAUAUCAACUGUGACUGGCUGUCUUCAUUCAGAUGAAUAAUAUACUUCAAACGUUUUUAGUUUUACUUUUUUUCAGUAGGACAUCCCAAAAUUACUUCAAGAGUUUGAAAUAUUGUUUAAGUCUAAACAAUAAAAUUGUUUUUAUUGUUUCAUCCCAACCUGUGCAGCACAAGACAUUAAUAAUUGAGAGAGAUACAGAAGCAAGUGAGGCUAAGUGAAUAUUUGAAAGACUGGUGGAGUCCUGCAGAUUUAGAUUUGCUCUAGUAUCUCGUCCUUGGUCAACCCCACCCUGAGGUGGGCCUUCUCUACUUAGAAGUAUGGAGAGCCGGGCAAUAUCAAAAACAGAACUCAUCUUUAGCAAAUUUAGAGUGUCAUAAACUGUGGCCUUGACAUUUCUCCUCACACCUUUCCUGAUUCAAUAAUAACCUUUCUUCUUCUUUCUCAACAGUUGAGUCCCCCCCUUAUCACAGCAUUCGUGUUGACUUUGGAUUUUUCCAUUAAGAAAAUUUUGCUAACAGUAGGGUUUUUCCAUUCACAAAAUCCUGUACUCCUGAAUAGUUUGUAUUCUUUACAUUACCACCCUCCUUCCCAUUAAUUUCUAAACCAAAGCAAUCUAUUGGGGUAAUGCUCACUACCAGAUCUGAAAGGGAGGCUCAUUAAAGGUAGAUGCAGCAUGUUAAAAGAUCCAUUUUUUUAAGGAAUACAAUCCUAAACUUUUAAGGUUUUUUAUAUUUUAUGUAAGAGAACUCUUCUUGUCGAUCCUGCCCCAGGUCAGGCCUGAUCCAGGAGCUGUUGAAUGAUCCAGUACUUUUGCUGUCAGAAGAUCAGGACUACUCAAGUUCACUGCUUACUUUUGGUGCCAAUUCACCUCUGCCUAGUUUAUGCACAAGCUCUGAACAUUUUGAAACUAAGCAGUAGAAGAACCUUACAGACUAAAAAAUAUUCUUUAAGAGAUGCUUUAAAUUUCACUUUUCAUGAUUAUGUGUUACCUGUCAAUUUUUACCUUCUCCUCCAUUCUGGCUGUUCCUCUUCCGCCCUUUACUGCCAUAUUCUCCAUCCCUAGUAUGCUUUCCUUCUGAAAUCAGUUGGAAAUUCAGGGAGAGUGAAGAAAGUAAGAGAAAAACAGAGGCCUGGCUGAAUGUUGCUCAUUGAGGGAAAGUGAGGCUGCUCCAUGUAUAAAGCACUGUUUCCAAUCGCUUCUGCAGAGAUGAACAUCAAUCUUUUUUUAGUUAACUCCAUCCACACAAUUAAUCAUGUAGCCAUUUGGGGGUCAGUGAUACAGUUUGCCUUGGCUAAGUGCCGGAUACUACAGACCCUUACAGCCCCUACACCAUUCUGGUUUGCCUAGUCUAAGAAAAGUCUACAUUGAAUUCAAUAUAAUGCACUGAUUUAAUUUUCUUUGGCUGUUUGUGGUGUAGUCAUCAUUAAUUUAAAUUGAUCUUGAGAUAUUGUGUAUGAAAAGAUCAUAUGCAUAUUCCUAUUGAGCUUCUUGUUUAUUAGUAGUAUUGUUAAAUUAUACACAUCGUUGUAGCACAGAGCAGUAUGUUUGUCAAAUGUUGUCACUGACGUAUGUUCACAUUCCUUGGGAUUGUAUAUUUUUAAAAAUUAGAAUGAAAUAUAGCUUGUGGAAAGCUAUUAAUUUUAAGGUUUAGUUUAAAUAUCCUUCCCCAUUCUAUGAAAUCUUGAGCUAGGUAGUAUCUUUCCCUGCUCAGGAUUAUGUAAUGUGUCUUACCUGUGUGAUGUAUUCGAUAGCUUUCUGUAUUGAGAUAUUGUCAUACUUAGGUCUAUUCCCAGCUAGAUGCCAAGUUUUUUCAACACAGAGGCCUUGGCUUCUACUUUGUUGUGUGUAACACAGCCAUGCAUGACAAAGUAGGUGUUCAAUAAAUAUUCUUUGUGGAAAAUUGACAAUUCUACCCUAUAAAUGCAGGUUGAAGGGUCUUUACCUUUGGUCUGUAUCCUCCAUUUGCUGUUUAAUUGGCUAUUAGCUGAAACUGAUUGAUAGACAAGGACUUUUUUUUUUUUUUAGGAGAAUUGGCAGCUAUGUAAAUACAGCACUUAACCUUAAGCACUCAGCCGUUAACCUUAAUCACUGUCCAUUAACCUUAAAGCACCCCAGGUUUCUCCCCUUACAGUCCCCCAAAACAGACCCCACUCAGUGCAUUCCUCAGCAUGAAAAAGAAUCUUAGUAGAAUGUUUUUAUUGUCCUGUGAGUGGCUGUAAAAAAGGCAUUUGGAAAGCAAACACUGAACUCCAUUUCUUUCUGUGGAUUCUAAUUAAUUUUCCAGGUGUCCAUAGAGGUAUAUGAAACUGGAAUAUUAUUUUAAGGAGCAUGUUAGGAUAUAUUUGAUAAGAGAAAGAUAGACAAUGCUUUUUGAUGUUACUAUCUUAUGUAAGUAUAAUAAUCAUAACAUGUCAUCUACGUAAUCCUGAAAAUUUGUGAAAAAUAAAGAAAUAUUUUUCAGUAGUUAUGCUAAAAUAUAUUUAAAAUUAAUUUCAGGUACUUAAAACAACCAGUUAUUUCAAAAUACAUGCUACUUGGAAUAUCUUAGAUCUAAAGUUAAAUUAUAAUAAAUAAAUGAUAAUUUUAUUUUAACAAAACACUUUUGAUUUUUUUUUCUGGCAAGUAUUCUUGCCAGUAGAUAUAACCAAUUUUGUUGAAAUAAAAAUAGCUCGCUUUAUCAUAAUCUUUUUUAGUAUAUAAAAAUCUAUGUUUCUGCGUGUUUCACAAAAAUCACAUAAAAUAACAAUUAUGUUAUUAAUAAUAAAAUGUCAUGUUAGUAAAUAUAGUCAAAUGUAUUGUGUUUUGCAUAUCAUGGUUUUGUUUCAGCAAGAUCUACAUUUACUUACCUAUGAAUUUAGUAAAAUAACGUUACAAAGUUGCAAAAAGUUUUGUGUGUAACAUUAUAUGCUAUUAUGUUUUAUAACUUCAAUCCUUGGAGUGAAAAUUGUAAGUCCAUAGAGUUCCUAUUGUAGUUUGAACAUAAUAGAUUUUGGGUUUAGGUUGGGAGGGUGGCUGGGGAUGGGGGAGAGAGAAAGAACACCUUGCUAUAUUCAGGAAAGCAACUUGAUACUAAUGGACUGAUUAUUUUUAGAUUUGCCAAAGUGCUCAGUUUCACUCUAAGUCCCAGAGGGAACUGACACUAGAAGGUGUGAGCAACUGAGGGCCAGGGAGGGUCUCUCUUACUGCUGAUUUCAAGGUAUAUUUUAACAAAUGUGAAAUCUCACUGGAAAAACAGAUCAGUGUAACACAAUGACUUCAACUCUAGAAAGAUGUUACCUCAACACAGGGCCACAAGGCUGCUUAGCUGUUCACUUAGAAUUUUCUGGUUACCUAACUAAGGAGGAAGGUUGAUAAUGAGGGUGACUUGGCAAGAGAGUCCAGGCAGAAUGUGCUCCUCAAAGGUGAGUCAAGUGUCAGUAUUGACCACAUGUUUUGAGAAUAAAUCAAUAAAUCAAUGACUUCUAUAGAAAUUGCUUUUUAAAUUUUGCUCUCUAAACAUUUUUAACAAUUGGUCUUUCAAGGCCCCAAAGAUCCUCUUGGAGAUAUGCAGGGCCUACCACCACAUUAAGUCACUAUUUCACUUUUUAUUAAGUAUAUUACAUAUUCUUACACCUCUAUACAUAUGCAAAAAUAGCCUAGACCUGUCACUGUGCAUUCUUUACACACAAAGUGAUGAAACGUACAUGCAAAUGUAGCUUGGAAACUGGGAAAAUUCAUGGAAGAAAAUUUCCGUCUUUGCAGGGUGUCUUCACCAUAUGCUUUGAUUUAGUUAAGCCCCACUGCUUCAGGAAAGGUGCUGCCUUAACAAUAUUUCAGGUCAUUUCUAUUCUUGAUACGGUGAUGUAAACAUACUAAGGGUGUGUUUUGAAUUAUGUGGCUUUGAAUUAUCAUUUUCUUUUAAUAAAUUCAUGGGAGGUACUCUUCUGCAAUAUUUAUUACUUGCAUAAGAACAACUAGGAAUGAGUUUUACUUUAGUACAAAUAUUAAGAAUCAUAAUAGAGGUUCUAUCCUGGAAAACUGAUGAAAUGUUAUUCUUUCUUUCUUCAGACCUUGAAUAGAAACAAUUAGUAAUUAGUAAUUGCAGUCACGUCUUUAAGUUAUGAGAAAUAUUUGGCAUACUAAUAGCACAACUAAGAGGCAAGUAAACCAUAUUGACAUUGUACAAGUUAGUGUUCAUUGCUUUGGGUUCUCAGCUGCAGUUCAAAGUUUGAACUAAAUAAAAUGUGUGUCCUUCCUCUAUCUCUGUUUCUUCUACUUUUACUAUACCACAUUUUGGGUAUUUAUCAAUUUGAUUUACUACACAUAAGGAUCACUCCUGGUACUGAUGUGAAUUUUUUUUUUUUAAUAUUUUUUAGUUGUUGAUGAACACACAGUAUCUUUAUUUAUUUUUAUUUUAUGUGGUGCUGAGGAUUGAACCAAGUGCCUCACACAUGUGAGGCAAGUGCUUUACCACUGAGCUACAGCCCUAGCCCUGAUGUGAAAUUUUAUGUUCAUUUAUUUUUCAUAUAUUUCACUUGAGCACCUGAUUGCCAAGCUUAUAUUAGGCAUCUGUGUUAUUUAUUGAAGAAUUUAAAAAAUUGUUCCAAUUAAGCUUUCCAGUCAUUUAAAACUAACUUCAAGUUUUAGAACUGUACAGCAUUAUUUUGUAGACCUUAACGUGGUUAUUGGCUCUGUAUUUAGACAACUAAGAUGUCUUCAAAAUAUUCUUACACUAACUUUCUCCACUUUAUCCUUGGGUUCCAGGGAAAUAAAAAACUUAAGAAAAUUUUAUAUUGUCUUUCCAGAAACUCUGACUUUAAUUGUUUGUUUACCAACAUGUAUAGAUUAAUAUGAAAACUAGAGAGAAAGCUUACCAAAAGAGAAUAGCAGCCCAUCAAAUCAAUGCUAAAAAAUUUGAAGACUCCAAGAGUUGAGACUAUCCAAUAGGGAGAAGUGGGGGGGCGGGGGGUGGGAGGGCUUUUUUGCUUUGACACAGUUAUGUCAGGAUAGAAGUAGGGACAAGUGCCACAGAGAAUCAGCAGUUCUGUAAUAAACCCAAAUACCUGUGCACCUCCUCUAUCAGCAAAGUGGCUGCCCAGUUCUAAUAACAUAAACCAUUAGGCCACAGAAAACAAAAACAAAAUAAGGACACACACCACUUUCCAAAAUAAACUUUCCAAAAUAAACUACCGGGUGGCAUGUUACGUGAAGUUUUUUUCUUAAAAACUGCUCUUGAAAUUCAUUUUGAUCUUCAUUUUAUGUGUAAAAGAGGUCUGAGCGGCACACUCAACCCAAUAAAAUCUGCUCUAACAUCUGUAUGACUGCUUCUGUCACUUGAGAUUUUCUCAAAUGCAAAGUAGAAAAGAAUUUAAGGAAAUGAUAUCUGUUUCCUAUGAGGUUUUUAAACCUUAAAAUAGCAAGCCAACAAACUGCCACCACUCCAAAACCAACGACAAAAAACAGCAUAACUACUCAUCACAUUCACACACGGUCACACCAAAUGGACAAACAAACAUAUAAACAGAAAGAAAAAACAAAUCAACUACAAAAACAGAUUCUGCCUUUCUCCAACAACUCAUAAAUGCAAGAAAAUUUUAGGUUGAAUAUUUCUAGAUUUAAAAAAGAAAAGAAAAAGAAAAACAAGAAAGAGAAAAUAAUCACACACAUACACUUUCACCAGGGACUGAGAGGGGCUGCACCCCCAACCCCAGCCUCAGCCCUCCUGAGACUCAGCACUCCUGAGGGAAAGGGGGAGCAAGAACUCUGGCGCCUGAAGCCCAUCUGAGGCCUUUGUAAGAAAAAAUGAUGUCACCAAUGUCUCACUUUUUUCCACUUAUUCUUUCCACUUCAUUCUCUUUUCUCUUACCUGCACUGAUUUUUUUUUUCUCUGUUACGGUUUUCCUUCACUUUACUGAAGCUCCAAAUUUGUCAAAUUUGUCUGAUCCCCUAGAAAGAGGGGCAAUUCUAACCUAAUAUAAACGUUCAUUCCCCGGGGUCUUUUGUACCUGCUCUCCAUUUUUUACUAUGAACGGGGCUUCCUAACUCCCAGGGUAGAAGCGUGGGUGUCAGAUCAUCACCUGCAUUUGCUAUCUCUAGGGACCUACUGAAGAAUACUGGCUAUUAAUUAACAUUUUACGAUGUGCCUCACACUCUUCAGAGGAAACACACCUUAUAAAUGCCAAACAGUAAUAAUUCAGCAAUCUGCUCUCCUUUGGGUUCUGGAUCCACCAGCACUCAACCUCCUGAGGAGAGGAAAAAAAGAGCCAUCUUUCUUAUUAUACCUACCUAGAGGAUAAAAUGUCAAGUGUAAAAGAUGCUUCAAGGAGCAAUGGUUGCACUCAUUUCAGAAGGAUUUCAAGAGUUUUUCCAAAAGAAAAGAAAAAGAGAAGAGCAGCCGUUGACAGAGCCAUCUGAGGAGGGAAACUGCCUUCCAGAACUCGACAAUCCUGGCAGAGAAGCAGAUGAUAUAAUUGUAUCUCACCUCUACUUCCUGUAAUCCUGUCACCAUCCAGGAAGCAACCAGCCACACUGAGAAAGCCAAACUUUGAGGCACUUAUCUCAAAGACUGUCUUCACCCCACAGGAAGGUCCCAUCCUAGGUGAAGUUUCUAAGUAAUUAAUCACUUUGAUAUACAGAGUUUGCAUCUUUUCAUCAACUCUUGGCUUAAAAUAAUGGGAAGACUGUUUCCUCUUCCUGCAGUAAGGAAAGUUCAGGAUUCAUUCUUUUAUUUUUUCUAGUCAAACACUUUUGUAAUAUUGUAUUAUUCUCAGAGAAAUCAGAAAGAAACUGUCAUUUCCAAGGCCAAGAGCUAAGGAAAGUGAAGGAGUUGAGAUUCUUCCACUUCCUGGCAGAUGAGGCUGAAGACCAUUGCUGCCACAAAGGAUGCACCCAGCCAUGCGAGGUUUGAACUGAUUCAGGCCUCCAGCAGAUCCUCCUCAGUGUGCAUCUCUAGAAUACAGUACUUCCCUCAAUAAAGGUAUGGAAAAAACAAGAGUCAUAACAGGAUGGUAUUGGUAAUAUUUGCCUUUUUAAUUUUUUCUUCACUUAAAAUUUUACUUUUAGAACCAAUAUUUAAUAUUAUUUCCCUAGUUGGGGAGUUCUGAGUUUCUUCUGAGCCCAAAUGAUGAGAUAUUUACACCAAACCAUUCCCAUAAAAAUUACUGCUGUUUAUAUUUGACCAAUAACAUGGAAUUUUUAAUAUUUCCCAAUUCCUUUAUCUCUCUAGAUGACUUGAUCCAUUUUAAAAUUAUAAUUAUACAAAAUAAUGAAGUGUCUAAACACAAAGAUUCAUAGUAAAACUUUCAGGGGAAAUAAGCUGACGGAAAUUAAUACUUGAAGUUCCACCUAGGUUUUCUCAUACACCCACUUACCCACCUACCGCACAUUUUUUUCAUUAAAUCCAUUUUUCAUUAAAUAACUAUUUCUUUUUAAAAAAUCUCAAUUUUUAAAUUAAAUACCUCUAUGAAGAAAGUAUACAUAAAAGCUCAAAUGAAUUAAGUAAAUUAUGCAGGUUCACAUCCAGAGGUAGUGACAGAUCUAGGAUUAGACGCAGACUUGUUUAAAUCCAAAGUUCAGGUUUAUAACAUCCAUGCUGUCAAUACUCUAAACUGAUAGCAGUAUUAAGAGCUGUUGUUAGUUAUAUCAUCUGCCACUUUGGAAAGGUAUUUUUUCAAUGUCAAUAUUUCAUUAGGUUUGAAAUUUAUCUUUCUCCACCAUAACAUACUGACAUAAAUUUUUUUAUAGCUCUGGCUUAGUAGACUUAUGUUCCUCUGAAUUAAUAUGAUGAAGUAUGUCAUGUUAAAAGUUCAAAUGUAGAAUCUGAUUGAGUUCAUCUCUUUAUAUUAUCUUUUUGUGGCAUGAAAGCUUGUUUUUAACAGAAAAAAAAUUACUCAACUCUAACAUAUUUAAAGGUAUUUUGAAAUCUGACAACUAUUGUACAUUGAAUCUGAUAUAAAUGGGGGAGCAAGGUUUAUCUGAAAAAAGGUGGGCAAGUCUGAUGAGAAAGAAAGACAAGCAACAUACAAAUUGAAAACUGGAACUAGCAUCGACAGCUUCAUGAACAACAGAAAUGCAAAACACUAAUAAUUUUGUAAAUAAUUAAAAUGUUUUUAAUGUCUACAGAUUUAUCUAAGCUCCUCCUUGCCCUAAAUCUGUAUUUCAUGAAGGUCCAAAGCCCUUCUCAAAAUUUCUGCAUAUUCCUGAGGUCUAUGUUAGACUGAGGAAGUAAGUCAAUAGAGCUCAUGCUUUUUUAUUAUAGUCCUUGACUCCAGGCUAGCCUUUCCUCAGCUCAUGAACAGUUUUACCAUUUUUAUCUUUUUUAAUUAUAUGGACAUAUAAUCACACAUGUACUUUGGCACACUUUUUUUGCUGUUUUGGCCAUAUAUAUUAAUAUUUUAUUAUACAUUGGGCACUUAAUUUGAGGUUAAGUAAUCCCCAGAGCUACUUACUACUGUACGUUGAGUUAGUCUCUUAAAACUCUAUUAAAUUAAAUUUAUUUUGCAAUUAAUAAUGAUCAGGGGCAUUAACCUAAGAUAUGAAGGGAAAAUCUGAGAGUCAGGUGAUUUGGAGGUCCACUAAUCCUAGUAUGCUCUUCACAAUUAUAAGCAGCAAUUUUUAUUUGAACAGGGGAUCUAAAAAAAGAUUUCCCAAGUCAGUCUUAUGUAUAAAAGCAUGUUUCCCUAGAAACCAGGAGGGGAAAAAAGUGUGCAUAGAAAUAUGGAUGGUUUUGCCGUCUCUUCUUGGCUGGGGGAGUUGGGGACUUUGUUGCACUCUAGCAAUUGCUGGUGUAGAUUUCAUAACGCUUCCAUAGCCUCUUUCUCUCAUGAGGAUAUAAAACCAUUGGGAUAGGUUGCUAACACAAUUUCUAUUUUUAUCCUUCAAAAGACAGGAAUUAUUGUUCUAAAAAUCUAAGCUUUACUUUAAAAAAAAUAUCACUGUAAAUUUCAAGUUCUUUUUAUUCUUCCUGCAUAGAUUUUUUUUUUCAUUUGUGCUAUGGAAAAAUGAGAUAUAUUACAUUAAGCAACACUUCCAAAAUUUUACUCAAAAUCUUGCACUGAAAAAAGAUACCUAAAGAUUGUCCUUUAGGGAUUUCCUUGCACCUUUUUAAAGCUUUAUGUGUCUCUUUAAUAAGGGAAAAAUAAAUAUGAUGAGUCAGAAAAACUGUUAGCCUUUUAAAGUAUACUGUGUCAAGUAGUCACUGAUUGCUAAAAAAGAAAUAUCACUGGGGAAAAAACAAAACAGUUUAAUAUCAGUUUGCCUGCAAGGCCACUCCUAAGCAUUAAUUCUUUGUGACCCUGGCAGAAAAGACACAUUACAAAAGAUAGUGGGAAACAAUUUAAUUCCUGUGUCUUUCUGACUUGAGAAAAUGGUUUCUCUUUUGUGUAUUGCUGGUUGUGAACCUCAAGAGUUUUUGUUGGAAUACACAAUUAAAGCAUGUUAAAUCCCCAUUUCAAUCUUGUUACGUGCUCUUUGGAAGGCCAAUUAAAAUAGGCCUUUCUUUUUUCUUUCCCUAGGUCUACUCUCAGUGUUCCCAUCUUUACUGGUUGCAAGCCAGUAGAGAAUCAUAAUCUAUUUUUCCCUCUGACCCAAAUAAUAUUGUAUGUGAAAUCCAAUUAUGAAAAGUGCAGUCUAUAAGGAAAAGGAAUUAAAAUCUUAACCAACGUAAUGGGUGAACAGGGAGGAGGUUAGAAUGGGCCUACUUUUAUUCCUGUGGUGCUUUUUGUAGAGCUUUUGAUAAGAAAUACUGCUAAAUAAGAAGUUUUAAAAACAAAAGAUAACUAGGGAAGGGCUCUAGAAUUUGUGUGUAUGAACUUUGUUUAUACUAUGAGUAAAUGUCAACUACUGUCCAUAUAUGAGCCUUAUAUUUUUAGCAUCAACUGGUAGUCUUCUCUUAAAUUCAUCCAAAGCUUCGUUCUGAAGUCACUGUGUCACAGCAAUGUAAGACCCACCUACCAAGACCCAGUUUGUACUCUCCCAUCUUCUCACCUUCCAGAAGUUUAUUUAUAUGUCUUUGUUGUCUAUCUUUACUUUUUAGAGCUGGGGGUCAAAACUGGGGCCUUGCUCAUGUUAGGCAAUCUCUCUACCACUGAGCCACACUCCUGACCGUUUCUGGAAGAAUGUUUGACAACUGUUACUGUCUUUUGUGUUCACAGGAUCGUAUGUAUCUCCAGAAAUACUCUGUCAUGCAGCCUAGUUCUAAUCUAGGAUAAAAUAUCUUUGUGAUUAAGAACAUAAACUUGGCCAAAUUAAUGAAAAAUAAAAACAAGAUAUGAUAAGGACAUUGUAUAAUUGGAAAACACCUCUCCAUACUUAAUUUUGACCUCGAAACUUCUGACAAUAGAAACAAUAGAAGAUUUAUGAACUAUUCGUGAAUUUUAAAUAUAUUGAAAUCUCAAGCACUUAAAGAAUCUCAUAUAUUUUUUUCUCUUUUCCAAUAUUGGUCAGAUUAUUUAAGAGUGAAUUUAGUAAUUGGUGACAAUUCAUUCACUCUACUGAGAAGCAAUGAAAACUCUUCCAAUUUAUUUAUUUAUUUAUUUUUGGAAUAUUCAAUAUGCUUUUCUUCCUUUGCAUCCUUUUUAUUUCACUAGUAAUUAAAAAAGAAAACUACUGGCACAGAUAGUUAUUAUCUAGAUUACUUUUAUGUUUGUAUUUUUUUAAGUUUAUAUUCUUCAUAAAUAAAACCAACCAUCAGCAUGGUUGGAAAAUAAAAUUAAUUACUGUGAUUAUACGUAAGAACUCCUUACCUAUUGAUAACAACAACAAAUUUAUCACUAAGACAUCUCGUUUUACAUAAGUAAUUGAACCAUUUUAUAAAAGGAAGCAAUUUUAAGUGAGAAAUAAUGGAAAGUGAUUCAGGUUACAGUCAUAAUUAUUAAAAGAAUGCUUUUAGUUUUUUUUUCAAAAGCGCUUUUCACAUAUGGACAUGUGGGCAAUGCUUUAGGUUAACAAAAAAUUCUUAAUGAUUAUCAGUGACCAUGGUUUUCCACAAAAACUUUCCUUAUGCUUUGAGACACAAAAGAAGGAAGUAACACAACCUGCACUUUAUUAUUUUGUAUCAGUGCAAAGCUCUUUCUAAACUUUAAGUCCAACUGAAAGCAGCUGCUGGAAAAAUAUCAUUACACUAUACCUUAAGCUACAAAAACCAAUUUAAUGGUGACAUUUUAUUUUGUUCAGAUGGUCUGCUCUUUUCUUCUGUUUAAACCAGUAAAGCCUAUGGAAACUGUAUCUGGAUGAAAUCACUGGAAGGUGAAGGCCCAUGACUAAGAACAUUCUUUACAGAUUAUACAGGGUUACAUUCAAAUGGGAUAGCAGCACUAACAAGAGGAAAGUCUCCAAAAGACAGCAAGCAAUAUUACAUCAUUUAGCAUUCAUAUGCAUAAUAAGAACAGAGUCUCUUUUCUAGAAAAGGGUAAAAAGUUUAUUAUUCAAAGUUUAUUAUUUAAUAAAACUCUAUUAUUCAAAAAUAUAAAAACAGAAAACACAGAUAUUACUUUAAAAACAUAUGUUGUAUGUUUUUUUUUUACUUCAGAUAUUUUUGUUUUUAAAUGAAAUACUAACUUCUCUAUCUUAACCAUGCCAAAAUUUUUCUUAAUUUUUUUGCUAUUUCAUUUACUUUCCUGAAAUGAAGUGGGGAGAAAAAAAAAGAAGUAGAAGAAAGAAAAUUCCCUAUACUUUUAUUACCUAUUAGUAUGAUCGUGAGUUAUAGUUAAAAAUUAAAUUUGAUACUAAUAUUUACCUGUUUCAAAAAUAAGUAUAUUUUACUGCAGAGAAGCAGUUAAAGACAAAACUCUUGAUAUGAAUCCAAUACUCAUAAAUCUUUAUUAUAAAAAUCUUAGAAUUGGACUACUUAAACCAGCUUUUGCUGAACACAAAGGUGAAUAAUCUCUCUGCCUCUCACUAUUUUUUUAAAAAAAAUCCUUCUUCUUGACAGUAGCAUGUAUUUGUUCAUUUACUCAUUCAUUAUUUAUAUUUUAUCUCUAAAAAAGACUUAUAAAAGUUUUAGAUAACAGAAAACCACUGACUUAGUUGAUUAAAAACGUGAGUUAUUUAAUUUAACGUGGUUACUGUGAUCUAAGUAUUAAAGUGAGAUCUAAACUGCAUUGCAUCUUAGCAUCUAGCAAAGUGCCUUUAUAAUGACCUUAAAUGCAGUAAACUAAACACCUGCUGUGGAUUGUAGUCAUAACCUUUACAUAAAUAAGACAGUCUUACCACUUAGGAAUGACUCCCAGGUGGUCCUGGCACAGCCUGGUCACAUCUGCUAGAUCUUAGGAAGAUUGGGGUAAGGGCUCUGCAUGCUGGCAUUGUGCCACAUGAUCUUACCUCAAAGCUUUGCACAAGUAAGGGAUUUUAAAAUCUCCCAAGUUGUGACUGAAAAGAGAGUUCUAUGGGGUGUCUCCAAAAAGUAAACUUUCGCUUUCUGGCCCUUACUUGUUCUUAUUCUUAAAUAAGUUUGUUAGAGUAGAUAAUUUCCCAUUAGUUAACCUCAUUUCAGACUUUGCAAGGAUUUGAUCUCUCCAGGGGUAGCCUAUAGGGAGUGUAUAAUUCACUUAUUCAACAAACAUUUUCUCAAGGUUUUGAUGAAUAUAGUCUUCUUCUGCAUUGUUCUCUGAGUUAUAUCAAGACAUAAGGGUAAACAGAUUAUUAGAAAAUAAGUAAAAAAUACUUUAGUGUUAUGUACCGGCAUAUUAUAGGAAAUACUUCAAUUUUUGGUAGGGUCUUGAAGAAGAGUUCACUAAGUAUCUCCAUAAAGGAUGGAAGGCAGUAGGUAUAUCUGGUAGAGAAAAUGCCCUGUGUGUAGGCAGAAGGGAAGGGAAGGACCGUAGGUGAGAAGAGUUCUUAGAAGGUCAAUGAUGUUGGAAUACACUGAAAUGGAAAAAAAUAGCUUUAUAAUUAAAUAGAAGUGGGACUGGGGUUGUGGCUCAGUGGUAGAGUGAUCACCUAGCACACGUGAGGCACUGGGUUCAAGCCUCAGCACCACAUGAAAAUGAAAUAAAGGUAAUGUGUCCAUCUAUAACUAAAAAAUAAAUAUUAAAAUAAGUAAAUAAAGGUCAGAUCAUGAAAGAAAUUACAUUGAAGUCUAUGUAUUUCAGAUCUCAAGGGCAUCAGAGUCCAGUGCCUGAAAUUGAUUUCUAAUGUAGUAAUUUAUGAGAUCUGCAGCUCAGAAAAAUUUACUUAACUCCUCCAAACCUCAGUUUCCACAAAUGUCUAAAGCUGAUUAGAUUUCACUGUUAUAUAGCAUUGUGCGAAAGAGUAAGUUAGCUAAUGGAUAUUGAUGUUGAAACUUCAGCUAGGCACCCAAAUCUUAAAUAAACAAGCCCCAUGAAGUUCUAAAUUAAAGUAACAAAUUACCACAUGCACACUUUUGAAUGAUAUUUCCAAGUACUGAUAAUCCUUACCCAUACCCAUUUAGUUUACAGACUAAAAGAAAACUAAGAGGAAAAAGGUGUAUGAAAAGCUUUCUUUGAAAAAAAAAUAAUUGCCAACCUGUGGGCACCAUUCUCAUAGGUAAAUUGAUGCUACCUUCAUCACCUCAAGCCCAGAGAGGGGAACUGCAGAUGAAUUGGGUCCUGGCUGGGGACUUCUGAAUUCCUCAUAAAAGCACUCCCAUAAGAACAAUCAGCUUCUCCCAUCUUCAGGGCCAAGGUACCAUCUGGCUCUUUACCCUGAGGUUGGUCAAAGAAGGCAGGUGGGAGAAAUUCUGAUGUUAAGUUCAUCUUGGAUAGAUAUUUAUAUUCUAAUACUAAAUUUAGACAUUGUUUUGUGGCUUUAGUAAUUAUAGAACUGUCUUUUACUUAGAGAAAAAAAAAAAAAAACAAACAAACAGAGAAUUCAUCAGCCUGACAGUUUUCUCUGGCAGGGAAACAUAACCUUAAUAAAAAUGUUCUUGAAAAAGUUUAAGGAAAAGAAAAUGAGGUUGUAUUUUGGUUAGGUCACAAACGUGUUCUACAUAACAACUGCACAUUACGACACUAAAAGAGUGUUUGCCAUAUAAGGAAUUGUUAAUAUUGGAGGUGUUAGCAGCUAUGAAGUAUGACCUAGAUAAGGCAUUAUAAGGAAAGAGAAAUGAUUAGCUUAAUAUAGCAGAAGAUGGUUUUGGGCUGAGGUUUGGGCAAAUGUUUGGGGAAGGAGGAUAUUAGAGGCAGGAAGUCACUGUAGAAGCUAUUUAAUGUCUUCCAAGAAGAGAUUGGUGCUUAAAAGAAACAGUAGCCAAGGUGGAUGGAGUAGAUUUAGAUAUCUAGGAGGCAGGAUAUUUGACCAAAGGGCACAUACUGAACAUGGGAUGACUUUUUGGUUUUACGGCUUGGACAAUGAAAAUAAACAAAGAGGACUGGGGGAUUUUAUUUGUAGUGUGUUAUGUUUUGUAUCUUUCUGAGAGUUUAGAUAAAUAAGAGCAGUUGAAAAUAAUCAUCCAUAAAGGCAAGGCUAUAUUAGAAAUAAAAACUGGAAAUUUUCUUUAUGUGGUAAUGCCUUGCAUGAAAACACCUAUGAAUAAUAUUUAUGUAAAAGAGCAAAGAAAGUCAACAAUAUAGCUAUAUAAUAUACUUAAAAGUAGCCUCAGAGAUGAUUUAGCAGUGGUUUUCAAUAUUUUUAGCUUCAUUAGGGGCAUUAUAUGUCUAACAUAUAAAACAAACACAAAAACAUUCCCUUUAGGGAUUAAGAUGGGGAACUUGUCAAUAUUAUUUCUUUGAAUAUUCAUCAGUUCCUGAAGCACACAGGAACAAUUUGAAAAUUGCUGAUCUUGUUUAAUCUUCCCAUUUUAUACACAAAGAACUGAUAAUAGGAAAAUCAAGGUCAUUUGCUUGAAGUUUCACACAGUCCCCAUUUGCAAGGAUGUGUAACUGUAGAGAAAUAUUCGAGUACAGCUUUGUGCCCUACCACUCACAGGCAGUGUACCUCCUGCCAUAGGAGAUGUUCAACUUUUUUUUUUUCUUACUGAAAACUAGGGACAAUGUCUUUAUUGUCAGGGUUGUGAAGUUAAGAGUUUGACAAAUAAAACUGUUGUUUGCAUUAAUUUCUGCCUCUUUAAUCAAAAGGAAUUUGAGUUGCAUUUUUGUUAGAGUUUAAAGGUUAGGCAUAAUAAGAAUGUGGAUGUCUGAUUGGAAAAUUAUAUUAAAGGGAGAUAAAAGUUUCUAGAUCACUAGCCAUGCCCAGGACCUACUUUAAUUAUUUCAUUAAUAAUCCAUCAUUCUUCAUUCAUUAUCCCUAAAUGAUUAUUGUAUUUUGGGUACGAAUCUUAACCCCUGGAAGAAUAAUGCUAGUAUGUAUAAUCUGCAGAGGAAGUAAAUAUAUAGCAAUAUUUUAUUAUAUGUCAUUACUACAUAUAUCUUAAUGUAAUAUUUUGUUAGUGUAGAAGAGAAAAGAAGGGAAGAGGGCCUUUAUACAGGUUCAGAAUGAGUUGAGUUUCAGAUGUUGAAUGUAUGUUUAACAAGCAAAGAAAAUGUCAUUUCAAACAGAAAACCAUGAAUGAGACCUCCGCAAUUCUAACAUUAAGGAGCAUGCUAUAGGAAGGUUCAGAAAGUAGGUUUUAAGAAAAGUGAGUUAAUGGAGUAUUGACUUUCGAGGUUAAAUAUGUUAAAAAAUUAAAGUGGUUAUCCCAUUUGAAUAUAAGGAGGUCACUCGUAAUAUUUUCAAGAAUUAGCACUUUUGAGGGGUACAUGCAGAACCCAGAUAGAGUGUUAAGAAAUGAGUGGAGUUAAAAUAUGAAAAACAUUUCAACUACUACUUCAAGAACGAUUGGUGGUUAUCAACAGGAGAAAUAUUGAGAGAAAACUUGUAGACACUAGGGUACUGAAGGAAAAUUAAUUAAGAUAAGUAAAUUUCUAUUUAUGAAAGAAGAGAAAGGGCCAAAAUAGAGAGGACCUUUGAAAACGUAAAGAUGCAAGGUCAAUUGCCUAGGUGGAAUAGUCAUACUGUCUCUGGGAAAAGAUGGGAAUUUCAAUACAGAUAUCUUUAAAGGUACAUUUGCUGAACCUCUUCUGUCCUUUUUCCUGUGAGUCCAAUCUGAUCACUAUUAAAACAUGAACUGUUCUACUACAGUAGCAUAGGCAUCCACACAUGGAUCUUGGUUGUUUCCUUAGAGAGGGCCUCUAUUAUUACCAAACUACUCAAAAUAAAGGUUUGAGGAACAUGACUAAUUAAGAAUGCUAGACUGUGAGGAAGCAAAAUGUGAUUUAAAGGAAACCAGCCAGACAAAGGCACAGACCAUAGCAAUUCUGAUAUCAAAAUAAGAAUCUUUAAUGAUCUUCUGGAACUAGGGUCAGUAUCAGUGAUCAUGGAAAAUUAGUUCCUCACAUUCCUUCAAGGAUACUUUGGCUUCUUUAUAUAAAAUUCCUUGGGAAGACUCCAGAAGUCACAGUUGCUAUAUGUGAAAUUUUGUCAUUUCUUGUGGCUUGAUUAAUAUGCACGCCCUGAAUUAUAUGCUGCACUAUAAAAUAUUAUAGCAGUGGUCUCCUGAAAAUGUAAUAUAAGCUGAAAAGCAUGCCAUACAUCUUUUGUUAAUUCUUCAGAAUGCUCUAGUAUUAAGGCAUAUUUUGUGAGAAAAACAUCUUUUGAUAUAUAAGAUAUCAAUUCUUAAUUCCACAUGGGAAAAGUCUUUAUAUACUAUGAGGUGCUAGUUAUGCAUAUUUAUGGACAGAGAGAAAUAAUUAAGGUCUACUUGAUUUAAAAAACAAAUUUAGAAACAAAUAAAAAAGGAGACUUCAAAGAUAGAUUAUCAUCAAAAUAAAUUAUCCAAAAAACUGAAUAUCACAGCAUUGCAAGGCAAUAGAAUUUUCCUUAAACUUACAAAUCCUACAUAGGAACAUUGGUCUUUCUGGUCAAGAUGGAAAAUAUAAUUGUGAAGAACACAAUAACCUGCAUCUACAUGAGAAACGAGAGUCAAAGAAACACAAAAUAGAUCACAAAAUUAUCUUAUUUAAACAUGAAAUAAAUUCCUUUUCUUCAUGUGGUUUUAUUUCUUUCAUUUGAAGUGACUACAUCCCACUAUUAUCAUAAUUAGCUGAAUAGUAAUAGACCAUGUAUUUUAAAGUGGAUUUCAUCCUUUUCUGAAUGGCAUUGUUCACUUUGGUCUCAAAAGAUUUCCAUGCAAUUUAUAGAAAGGUAUGACUAGAAGAUAUCUCCAUUGUUUGUUCAUGGGCUAUGCUUAAUUAUAAUGCACAAAAUAGUUUCUCUUUAGUUGCAAGUAUCCUAAAUUAUGGAUUCAAAGUUUGUCUUAUUUAAAAGAAGUGAAGACAGCUGUUAAAAAAAAAUUCCAAGUAGUUCUGGAUCAAAAAUACAUUUUCAUGAUAGAAAAUUACCUACCAAAAAAUGUGUUCUUUGCAAGGGGCCACAUUUUAAUUUUGAGAAAGUUAAAACUGACUUCUUCUUACUGUGGUAAUGUGCCACUCCUGGUGGGACACAGCAGGAUAUUCAGUGGAGAGCCUUAACGUUUUUCUUUGUUUGAAUGUUUAAAUAUAUUGAAUGUUAGAGCAAAUUUAAGGAUGUAAAUGACUGAGACAUAAGGCAGCUGCAGACUGCUCACUAAGAACAUUUAUCAACACAUUUAAUCUGCAAUUCAUUUCACAUCCCAUCUAUAGAGCCUCAUGUCUAUUACAUGGCAUUUAGAAUGAAGUAUACUUGAAGCACAUAACACUUUCUUAAAUAGGCAAAAUGGUAUAUGUCCCAUGAAUUUUAAGUUUCUAUUUGAGAUGCUGAAAUAAUUUUAAAGAAAUAAAAGUGUUUUAAAAGAUUGGAAUAAAUAAGCCUGCUUUUCAACUGCACGUCUUGGGGAUUCUCUUGUUUUGAAAUGCAAUUACAGCAAUCUGUGGGUGGAAGUGCAGGCAUUUCAAUGAAGCUAUGUGGCUUUAUUUUUUACUUUGAUAUUCUUGGGUGCCAGUUACAAGGAGUCAGAAAAUAACACCUGAAUCUAGGGGGUUUAAAACCUGGCUCCUCUGCUUCCUAUAUGCACUUCCUUUUUGAGCCUCAUCUUCCUUAUUCUUGAAUGGGGAAAAAUAGUCCCUGUCUAUCCACAGAGUUUUGUGUCUUACAUAGUUAGUAUAUAAUUAAACUUUGAGCAAACAAAGUGAAAGCAUAUUAAGAUUUAAAUGCUGGUUUCCAAGUUAUGGCCAUUUGUCAGACUGGGAACAGUGCAAGAACUUUAAUACUCUUACAUUGUAAAUAAUUGUUUACCUCAAUUUUACUGAAUGACAAGUUUUGAGGAAGUAAAAUGAGUUCAUAUUUUUUCUUUGUGGCUGGAAAAUAGAAAAACAAAUGCAUAUUAGCCUGCAAGAUGCAUAAAACUCUUUCAACAUGAUUAUUACUAUUAUUAUCCUGCCUCAAUUUUUUAAAACUGAGAAUUGAUUAGCAAAUUACAGUUUCAAAUGAUUUAUUAUAUUUUUGGAAAAUCCCCCAAAACAUAAAGUCUGACACAAGGAUGAGCAUUAUACUAUUAGUUCCUUAAUAUGCAAAGAAAAUAAAGUGAAACAUUUUUGUUGUUGUUGUUAUUUUAUUUACCUUUCUAUCAGAAUUAGAAAGUCCAGUUGAAGGAUGCAUUUGGGGUUAUAACAAUUUCUUUAAAUUGAUUUUAAAAUUCUGAAUUAAGUUCUUUUUAACAUUUUGAAAGCUAGAAUCAAUAAUAGCAUUGUUGAAUUGAGCUGAUGAAACUCAUGAAUUUUCAUGAUAUCUAUGAAAAUUUAUAAGAAACAAUAAUUUGGAGAAAAUUUAAUCUUCUUAAAAUUGUUAAAGUUGUCUGAGGAAAUUACAAAACCCAUAUUGAAUGCAAAGAAUGCUUUCCAGGAUAUCAAAGAGACCUUCAGGAGAUUCAUGAUCAUGACCCUGUAUCUCUUUCUAUUCCUCUGUUAGUAUUGAUUUUUCUCACACCAUUAAUUGAGUCAUAUUCAAUUUCCUUCAUCUCUGCUAAUGUUGAUAAUACUUAUUAUUCAGUGGCUACAGAGGUUACUGAAGUAUUGUUUAUUAGUUUGUUUGAAAAAUUGUUUUCUUUUUGAGAGAAUUUUAAAUAGUUAUAACUAAUCAUUAGCAUUUUUGCUUUAUUUUAAACAAUACACAAAAUGCAUUGGUCAGCAUUCUUUGGAGAAUUCACUCUGUAUCAACAGAUCUGGUGUGAAUCCUUCUUGCUCUUAAUAUUUCAGUAGCUACACUCUCUUUUUCCAUCAUUUGGACAGGCAUUUAGAAAUAUGAGUAUGUGUUUUUAACUGCAACUCAUUUAUCAUUUGACAUGACCUUCUUGCUCUAAUACCCAAACAAUUUCUGCAACAUGAAAAUGAGUCACAUGUUGGAAAUGUAAUGGGUCCUUAGAGGAUUUUUAUAGAAAGUAAGGACAAAAUUAUAUAUAUGUAAAAUUAAAAAACCAGGUGCUGGAUGAGAGAUGAUAUUAGUGCUAUAAACUCAGAAGAACUGCAGUAAAUAUAGGAAGAUGUGAUUUUCAGGGGACAUGGGGCAGAGAAGGGGGAGGAUUACUAUAACAAAGCUGACAGCCUAAACGAGGCUCUUUCCGUAAAGAAAGGGAAGGCAAAAAUCUAGUAUGCUAAGCUUCCAGGUGGGCAAAGUGUGUUGGAAAAUGAAUAAUUUUGUUAGAAUACCUUAGAAAAUGCAAUACAAUUAGAAAGCAAAAUAUAUAUUCCCUUUAUUUGUUCCUAUAGUUUACAUAGCAACAAUAAUUGAAUAAACAACCUUUUUUUUUCCUUGUGAACUAAUGGCAUUGAUACAUUAAAUAACAAUAGAGUUCAGUUUUUCAACAUGAAUUUCUUCUCAUUAGAGAGGGGCACAAAUAAAAGGUGGUACACAUGUUAAAUGAGCAGUUAUAAUGUGUUCUUUCUAUCAAAGGCCAUAGGAAACUGGCUCCCUUGCUAUAAAUUUGAGGCACUACUUUCUUUGAUCACAAACUCAGAAUCUUCCUGUGCAUGUGAUACUUCUAUGAUGGAUACUCAGAGCUUAAUUAUAUCAACCUACAUUUAGACUGUAUCAGUAGAAAAAAUAAGAGCAUUUGAGAUUAUUUUUAUAUCUAGCAAAAAAUGUCUCAUCCAAAGGAAAUGUUUUCUAGGUUUAUUUGUUAAAGAUUUAUUUCUUUGGUCCAAAAUAAUUCAAUUCAAAGUCAUAUAUUUAAAUUACUUGAAACUUUGCAAAAUAGAACUAUUUUUUUUUCACAGUUAACAAAAAAAAGUCAAAUUUUCCUCCUAUAAAUAUCAAAUCUUUCACACCUUAGACUAUUAGCUAGUAUCGGCAACUUCCAUAGAAUUUUCUCUGAACUCAGAUCUUGAUUAUUCAUGCUAGAACAACUGAAAGCUUGAAACUGUCAUACAUAUCUACAAAACAAUGGAAUGAAUUUGUAUGUAUAAAUAAGAGUGCACUUUGUACUAGAGAAUAGUGGACCAAGAAGCAACUAGAAAAUUGCCACUUUUCUAGCAGUUCUUCACCAUUCUUGACAUUUCAUUCCACACUAGCAAUGACAUUAUCAGAGUCUUUUCAUGGCCAAGUGUGCCAGUAGUGAAUCUGAGAUUGGGGUCUAUUGAUUGUUGCUAUCAAAAUACAUACCUAUCUACAUCUACAUCUACACAGAAAGACAGGUAAGACCCCCAAAUUACUACCUGAAGACCUGAGUUUGAAUGCCCUGGCUUUAUAACUUAUUAUGGCAUUAACAAAUCACUUGGGAUCCAUUAGCCUCAGUUUUGUUUCUUUUCUUUUCCUUCCCUUUCUAUCCUCAUAAUGGAUAUAAAAAGACUUAGAAAAUUGCCCAAGGAUUAAAAGAAUCUUUGAAACAUAUUUUAUAAAUGGAGAUCUAUUUGUGUGUUUGUUCAUUACCCAGGUUUGAAAUGGGAUUAUAGAUAUUACAUAUAAGCAAAACCAAAUAUAUGUGAUUAUUUUUAUAGAUUGAAUGAAAAAAAAUAAAAUCAUCCACCAUUUUAUAUUUUUUUUUCUUUUUUUUUAAUACUGGGGAUUGAACCCAGGGGCACUUUACUACUAAGCUACUUCCUCAGAUUUGUACAACAGGGUAUCCCUAAGUUACAGAGGCUGACCUUGAACUUGUGAUCCUUCUGCCUCAGGCCCCUAAGUUGCUGAAUUUAUAAUUGUGCACCACCAUGGCACACUUUGUUUUACUAUAGGAUAUAUAACUGUACAGUUAACUAAAUCAAUACAUUAAUACUUAUGGAGCACCAAAUAUUGGAAAAUUUGUAUCUUUCUAUUUGGAUAGUGCUAAACUCUUGGUUUUACAUGGUAGAAUUCUUAUCAUUUGACAUCUGACCCAUUCAAAAUUAAAAAGUUGAGAGAAGAUAAUGCCUCUUUACUUAUUUACACAGAGUAUAUGACAUAUAAAUAUUUGAAAAACAUGAUGAAUGAUUUUUGUAUUAAUUUUGAGCCUCAAAGCUACUACAAACUAUAUUUUUCCUUUGGUAUUCAAAUUGGAAUAAUAGAUUCUAUCAUUUGAAAACCUUAUAUAAUCUCCCAGUCCCCAAACUGACUUGAUUGAAAAAAUAUGAGACAUCCUAGCCUCUAACUUAUUUUAUAGGCUUAUCUUUAUAAGCAUAGAGGAUUAGAGAAAAGAAAAGAGGCCGUUUUCUGCUUUUUAAAUAUUUUCCCCCACAGGAGAACUUAACAAGUUGUGAAGUGCAUGAAAUAAUUUAAGAAUAUCAUCUCAAACAUCCUUAUGGUUAGGCAUCUCAUUCACAAGUGUUAAAUCUACUUUAAGGACUAAAUUGUCAAGGAUCACAUAAAUUGGGUUGCUGCCAAAUUUCCACUUCAGUUUAUGCUGUGUAGACAGAAUAUGUAUCCAUAUGACCUGCAUGAAUCAGCCAUUCAGCUGUCUCAUGAGCUAUUUUAGCAAUUGCCUAUUGCCAAUUAGGUAAGAAAGUAAAUUCAUUAGCAUAAAUUUAGAAAUAUUUUUUGGUUAUGGCACUAGUUAUUUCCCUCCUACAUGCAAAAGGAAACAAAUAUUUUCUUAUUGAAAUUUUAAAAACUACAACUUAUAAUUUCUUAAAUUUGUUUAUGACUUACAAAUUUAAGAAAAUUUUUAUACAUUAGUUCUAACCAUGAAAACAUUUACAACUUUUCUAAUUUUACACAGAUGUAUUGAUAAGGAGCAUCAAACCAAAGUGUAAAGAUUAUUUACAAAUAAAUCUGAAAGACUAUCUUUUCUGAGGGGGGAAGAAACGUCUCAAAUGAAGAAAGAAGUUUACUAACUGAUAACAUCACUAACUCAGAUAAAUACAACAAAAUUAAUAUGUAAUAUGUGGCAAUAUCUUAGGCUUUUAAAGUUAUACUAAAGAGAUAAAAUAUUUUGAUUAGCUGAUAUUGAAGAUUUAGAAUUAAUAAAUGAUCAUAGUCUUUUAAUUCUUUUUCUCUGCUAAGAAUCAAAAAUGCAAAGCAAACAUUAUACUAUUUUGUAUAAAGAACACACUGGAAGUGGGUAACUCAUACAUGUUCAUGUAAAAUUAUGUUUAUUUUUAUCUUAAAUUGACUGUUUAAAUUUUUAAAUGUUCAAAAAGAGUAUUCAUCCCAAUCACUGAACUUCACAAACAAUUAAGAAUGAGAGUUUUCAUAUUUCUGUCAUGCUCCUGUUUAAAAGCUUGUCUUCCAAAUUUCAGUGAAAUUCAGCUGUUGAAUAUAAGUAGUUCCUAUUGUAUAAUACUAUAUACUAAAUUUGAAAUAAAUAAUGGGGUUCAGUGAGAAGUACAAAUAGAUAUCAGUCUCGUCAGUUUUUAUUUGUCUUAUUUUCAGUGUAUUUUAGUAUUAUAAUUUUAAAGAUUAUGUUAAUUUUUGAGGUUCAGAUUAUAUGUGAAAUUUUUAGAUUUAUUGUAUCCAUUAGUGGGCUUCUAUAAAAUUUAUUUGAGUGUCCUUUAAAGUCUUAGAGAAUGCUUUUUUUAUAUGAUUGAAUAUGCAUUGCAUGAAUUUUGAUCUUGCCACCAGAUGGCAGGAAAAAUCAAAGUCAAAUAGUUUUCAAUGAGCAACUUGAAGAAGGAUAUCUAUAUAUUUUUUUGUCGUGUGUGUGUGUGUAUGAGUAAAUAUGUAUGUUUUAGUCAUUUUGUGUUUUUCUAUUGUUGUCUUUUUCACAAAUCUGAAGACAUUAAUAACAGGGUGAACAUGCAGUAAUACCUCACUGGUAAACAUUUUCAAUUUUUCAUUAUAAUCAUGCUAUGGAUAUUGUUUAUUAUAUUCAUGCUAUCAUUGAUAUCAUGAAUUUGAAAAUUAUAAUUAUUAUUUUAGUAACAUUUAGAUUUUUAAAUAAUGGUUACUAUAGUCCCCAUACUUUUCAGGGUUGAAUAAUGGUUUUCUGAGGUCAUUAAUAUACAGGUCUCUGUGUAUCAAUUAUGUAUCAUUUGUAUUCAUUUGUGGAUACAAUAAUGUAAUUCAUAAAUUAUGAAUACAAUAAUUUGCUCAAUUUUUAUCAUUAUAUUCAUUGAUAAUAUAAUGAACUGUAUUAUCAAUGGAAAGUUAACAGAAAUGAUAAUGAAUAAAAAAGGAAGCUAAUCUGUCACCUUAAGGUUAGUUCUUUUUGAUCAAGGCCAUGCGGACACUUUUCUGUAGCGGAUACAUAUCUUAUUAUUUAACAGAAUAAACCCUUGAAUAUCUUAGUACUACUUGACAUUGUCUGUAAAUAAAAAGCAACUUAAUUACAAAGAAGAAUAAAGUCAGACAAAAAAAUAUUUGCCAAACUGCAGAAAGAUUCAAUCAUUAUUUUAUAUUUUUUUCAAGUAUGUUUUCUGGCUUUCAUUUUUCACAAAAAGUUCAGCCCCUUAACAAUGUGAAUAUGUGCAAAGUAUAUAAAUGAAGCAAAUAAUUUAAAAAUUUAAAAUUUAGUGUGCUUUAAUUAAAUAAUUAAAUAAAAUACAGUAUGGAUACAUCUUUCAUUGCUCUAAUAAUAAUUAAAUUGGUUUAAUCCAUUUACUUCAUUUAUUUUUGACACAGAAGUUUUCUUAAUCUUGCUCUGAAGUAUCAUUAUUGUAUGAAUAAAGGCAGGCAUUACUUUCUACCUUUACUGAAAGAAAAAGAGUAAUUAAAAUUAAUUCACCUAAUUAAAUUAGGUUUAAUUCAUCAAUGUGAUCUUUGCAUAACAUUUUCAUUGGCACAUUAGCAAACAAUUUUGGACAGUUUUUUUUUUNNNNNNNNNNNNNNNNNNNNNNNNNNNACCUUACUGUCUAUAAAGCAUACCUUAUGAUACAUUACUCAUCCAGAGUAACAUCCAACUGGCGCUGUGUUAGAAACUUAUUAUGUCAGAUACUGAUUAGUUUAAAUCUUGCUUUAAAAUAAUUACCUUGAGUCUAUUUGGAAUGUGACUGCACUAUUUUGCUAAAUAUUGAAGUUUUAUGCCUUAAAUGAGAGAACAAAAAUGGAAUCCUUAUUUCAUUCUUUUCAUCCAGAUUCAUGUCAGGUCAGUAGAAAUGCAAAUAUAAAGGUAGGCUUAAAUAAGCAUAUAAAUAAAGGUGAAAAGGAAAAAAAAUAAGAAAUAAAUAUUUUUAAAUGGCAAAUUAAAGAAAUCCUGCAUCAUUUCAUUGAAUUCAUUUAUAAAUUAAGACUGGUGGGGUGGGGGAGAACAGAGAAUAUAAAUUUAACUCAAAUAAUUUUACCUUUGAAAAGAAACUGACUUCCACCUUUUUCAUCAACCUAUCUUAGAGAAGGAAAGUUAGAGGGAAAAUGUACAUUAAAAAAUUGUUCCAGGUAUGGUGGCACAUUGGGCACAUUCCUGUAAUUCCAGUGAUUCAAGAUGCUAAGACAGGAGGAUUAUAAAUUCAAGGCCAGCCUUAAUAACUUAAGGAGGCCCUAAGAAGCUAAGACCCUGCCUCAAAAACAAAAACAAAAACAAAAAUAGGGCUGUGGAUGUAGCUCAGUGGUAACGUACAUGGGUCCAAUCCCCAGUACAAAAAAACAAAUAAAUAAAAUAAAAAAUAAAUAAAAAUUAUGUUUCUAUGUGCAAUAAAAUGUUCCAUGAAAUAUGUACUCAGCAUAAAACUGGGUCAUCAAUGAUUUUCCGACAGGAGUGUUGCCAAGGCAAAUUUCCUGUGAUAAAUAUGCAGUGACUUUUCAAACCAUGUCAUUUUAUAAAGGAGAGCUAGAUACCAGGAAUUGCAGAGACUUUAAACAGAGGAACUUAACUUCUUAUGCAUCAAAUAUACAUCCCUAUAUAGGGCAACUGUCUCUGUUGGCAUGCUCUUGCUCUAUAAAAACAACUAAUAUCACUAGUAAGAGUAAUCUGAAUCUCAGGUUAACCAUUUAGUUUUGCUUAUUCAACAAUAUUUGAGGGCUAUGACCAUCUGUAAUCAAUUUAGGAGUUAUUUGUGAUAUCUGAGCAAAAUUUGUUCCAGAAUAAUUUCAAAUUGACAACAGAGGCUUUUUCUAUGACUUUGAUUACCCAUGGAAAUCUUCACAUUUCACCCAAAACAGAGGGGGAAGUUUUUACAUGGAACUGGAAAAAAGUGUGUGUACUUUAUUUUUUCAUUUCACUAGUUUUGCUUCUGAGGAUUUAUGAUAAUUAUAGACCCUAAUAACUAAGCAAAAAUAUAUGUGCCCAGUAAAAAACUGAAAAAUUUUUCUCUAAGGUAAAAAACAAGGCAAGAAUGCCGAGCCCUACCACUUCUCUUGGACACUUCUCAUGGGUACUGGAAGUCCUAACUAGAAAAUGAAAUAAAAGGCUUGGAAAUUGAACAACAACAAAAAAAGCUAACAUUAUUGUCUCUGCAGAUGAUAUGAUCUUAUUUGUAGAAAAAUAUUGUUAGAAGUAAUAAAUUCAGUAAAGUUGCAGGAUACAAAAUCAAUGUACAAAAUUCAGACGUCUUUAUAUACAAUAACAAUGAACCAUCAAAAAAUGAAGAAAAGAACUUCCUUUAUAAGAGAAUUAGAAAGAGAAUCUCAGGAAUUAAUUAAAGAGGUGUUUUAGUCAGGUUUUGUGUUGGUAUGACCAAAAGAUAGGACAAGAACUACAUAAACGUCGUAUUCAUUUUGGUUCACAGUUUCAGAGGUUUAGCUGUUAUGGGCUGGCUCCAUAGCUUUGGGCCUCAGGUGAAGCAGAAUGUCAUAGUAGAAGAAUGUGGCAGAGGAAAACAGCUCAAAUGUGGCAGCCAGGAAGCCACCAAGGACAAAACAUAAACCCCAAAGACACACCUUCAGUGACCUACUUCCUCCAGUCACACACAUAGUUAAUCCAUAGCAGUGGAUUAAUGAGAGGAAUAGGUUACACCUCUCAUAAUCUAAACAUUUCACUUUGAAAAUUCUUGUAUUGUCUCCUACAUGAGCUUUGGGGGAACAACCCUUAUCUAAACUGUAACAAACUCAAUAGUAGAAAAGUAAAUAACCCAAUCUAAAAUAAUUGCAAAAUCUUGAAUUUCUCUAAAGAAGACAUACAAAUGGUGAAAAAGUAUAUGAAAACAUUCUCAAUAUCACUAAUCAUCAGGGAAAUGCAAGCCAGAAGUACCAUGAACUAUCACUCAUGCCUAGUAGGAGGUUGCAAAUGUUCCUAGGUCUAGACUGGUGAGGCAGAAUACUCCCAUGGCAAAUCAGGCAAAGCAAAAUCACUACUGAUAUAUAGGCAGCAAGUAUAAACAGAAGGCUAUGGUACAAGGAGAGCCAGUUCCCCGGGGCUUAGGAAAACUGUUGAGAGCACAGGGAAUCUUGUUUGUGCUUGUCCCAUAUCACACCACAGCUAAGACUUCCUUUAAACACAUAAUCCUGAUUUUUAUAAUCUGGGUAUACUUGCUGAGGUCAAGAAUUAUAGAAUAUGAGGACACAAUCUGGGUUAUUACAGACAUUCCUUUCUUAUCUCAGGAUGUUGCCUUCUUGUAAACAAUUUGCCCCAAAAUUGCAAGCAGAAGGGAGAGAUUUGGGUUACUCAAGGCUAUCUAAGAGCCUGACCUGAGGAUAUUUGUUAUCAGUCAGGAAAAAAAAAAAACACAAAAGCUGGCAAGGAGGUAGAGAAAUUGCAAUUCUUCAACACUGUUGCUGGGAACAUAAAAUCUUGCAGCUGCUGUGGACUACAGCAUGUCAAUUCCUCAAAAAAUUCAAUAUGGAACUAUAAUAUGAUGCAAUAAUCAUAUUUCUGCAAUUGCAAAAGAAUUGCAGUCAAGUCAGGAUCUCAAAGAACACUUGCACUCACAUUCACUGUACCAUUAUUCAUAAGAUGAAUCUUAGCCGAGAUGUAGAGACAAGUGUCCAUGAAUGGAUAAUGAAUAUAUAUAUAUAUAUAUACAUAUAUAUAUAUAUAUAUAUAUACACACACACACACAUAUACAAAUACACAUAAGUUUAUAAAUACAUAUGUGUAUUUAUAUGCAUAAAUGAAAUAGUUUUCUGUCUUAAAAAUGAAGAAUUUCCUGCCAUUUCAACUUUUGAGGACUUUAAGCUAAAUGAAAUAACCUAGCCACAGAAGAACAAAUACCACAUGGUUCAAUUUACAUGAAGGAAUCAAAAAUAGUCAAAUUAGCAAAAAACAGAGCAGGAUGUUAGUUUUGAGGUCCUAUGAGAAGGUAGAAUGGUAAGUUUAUGUUUAAUCAAAGAGUUUGCAUAAGAUAUAUUUUUUUCUUCAUUAUGUGAAAAUUGACUGGUAUGGCCAUCUAGGAAUGGAGUUUUCUUUGUAGGAAGGGUUUUAUAAUGAAUUAAUUUACUUUAAUUGGAUAAAACUAUUCAAUUUUUCUAUUUCUUCUAUUGUCAGUUUUGGUUAAUUAUGCUUUACAAGAAAUUCAUCUGUGUCAUCCAAGUUGUCAGUGUAUCAGAAUAACAAUAUUUACUGUAUAUCCUUGUUAUCUUUUUUUGUGUGUCUAUGAUCUAUCAUGAUGUCUCUCUUUUAGUCCUGUUAUUUACAAUUUGUAUUUUUACUCCACUAUUCUUGAUAAGUCUAGCUAGGCAAUUUUAUUAAUGCUAGACUGGAUUUUGCUUUACAGUUUAUUGUACUCACUUCAUUGGUUUUUCUUAUCAUUACUAUUUUCCUUCUGCUACUUUAUUUAGAUAUAAUUGGCUCUUUUUAAAUAUAGCUUCCUAAAAUGAUAGCUUAGAUAUAUUAUUUCAUGCUUUUCUUUUUAUUCUUGAAUUUCAUUCAAAUCCCCUCUUUAUCUACAUUUCCCACAUCAGAGUAUAUUGCUAUCUUAAUUCUCUGGAAUAAGAAUUUGUUAAGUGCUUGGCAAGGUACUUCUGGAUUAGGUCUUUCAUGCAAUUGUAGUUAGAUGGUAGCUGAAGCUAGAACACUGGAAUACAGGGGAGACACCCUCCUCUCUCAAGAGUCUCAGAGCCUCAUCCUGUGGACUCUCCAAAUUAGUGUGUUUAAAAUUUCAUAUAAAAUAGACCUGAAGACAUUCAAUCUCCUUACAUGGUGACAGAAUUCUGAAGGCACAUAUCCCAAGAAUACCAAAAAGAAAUCAUAUCACUCUUAGUGACUUAGCUUUCGGCAUCACAUAAUGCUACUUCAGCUUUAUUACAACUCUCCAAGAUUCAAAGAGUGUUAGAAGUUGCUAAAUUGCAUUGUAAGAAGAGAAUAUCAGAUGGGAGACAUUAUGGUAGCUAUUUGAAAUAUACAAUCUACCAUGUCACCUUUGAACCAUAGUUGUGUAUUGCUUCUUUUCAUCCAAUUUAUUUUUAUUAUGGUAAAAUAUAUAUAAGAAAAAUUGUCUCAACCAUUUUUAAGUAGUCAGUUCAGUGGUACAAAGCACAUUCAUAUCAUGGUAUAACUAGCACCAUUCAUCUAUAGAAUCUUCAUCUUAUCAAACUGAAAAUACAAUGGAUCAACAAUAACUCCCCAUUCCCACCUUCCUCCUGCUCAUUGCAACCACCAUUCUGUUUCCAUAUUUGUUUUCUACUGCUCUAAGUACUUCAUACAAGUACAAUCCUUCACUAUUUGUAUUUUUGUGACUGCCUUAUUGUAUUUAGGAUAAUGUCCUUGUUCAUUUAUGCUGUUGCCUAUGGCAGGAUUUCCUCCCUUCUUAAGACUUAAAAAGAUAACAAAGUUUAUACAUGAAAAGCACAGAGUGGACAUCACUAUUCACUAGUGAAAGACUGAAAACUUUCCCUCUAAGAUUAGGAACAAUGCUUUCACUGCUUCUAUUUAACAUAGUUUUGGAAAUUCUAGUUAGAGUGACUAGACAAGAAAAAUAAGUAACAAGCAUCUUAAUUGGAAACAAAUAAUCUCUGUUUAUACAUGAUGUGAUUUAUAUGAGUUUAUAUGUAUAAAACAAUUAGAGAUUAAACUAAUAAAUGAUUUUAGCAAAAUAGGAGGAUGUAAAGUUAACACAUAAAAAUUAGUCAUGUCCCCAUAUGCUAAUAAUGAAGAAUGUGAAAAAGAAAUUUAAAAAAACUCCAUUUACAAUUGCAUAAAAAAAGUUAAGAAUUAAUUUAACUAAGAAUGUAAAGGAUUUGUAUAAGAAAAACUACAAAAUAUUUCUAAAAGGAAUUAAAGAAGACAAGAGGAAUGAAUAUUUCAUUUUUUGUACAUGCUAUAUUUUGCUUUUCUAUUCUUUUGUCAGUAGACACUUUGUUUUUUUCCAUAUUUUCCCUGUGAACACAUGUAUACAAAUAUCUCUUUGACAUCUUACUUUCAAUUAUUUUAAAUAUGAAAUAGAGAAGUAAAAUUUUUGAGUAUAGGGACCCAGGUAUGCAAUGACUGGAUAAUAUGAUAAUUCUAUUUUUAAUUUUUUAAACAACAAUCAUACUAUACCAUUUUAGAUUCCUACCCACAGAACACAAGCGAUCCAAUUUUUGUACAUCCUAUAAGCACUUACUGUUAUCAUAUGCAGAGUCUUUUUUAUGUUACCUAGACUGGCCUUAAACUCCUGGGGUCAAGUGAUCUUCCCACUUCAGCCACCAAAUAGGCUCAGACUACCAAUGUGCAUCAUCACCACCUAAACACUUAACAAUUUUCUGGAAAUUUUUAUUUAAUUUUUUUUAGCAUUGGCAUAUGGUGGUCUCUCAUUGUAGUUUUGAUUUGCAUUUCCUUAAUGAUUAGUGCUUAUUGGCCAUUUGUAUGUUUCUUUGGAGAAAUGCCAAAUCAAAUCUUUGACCCUGAUGGACCAGGAUGGCUGUUUCUUUGUUGUUGAGUUUUAUGAGUUUUUAAUAUAUUUUUCUUAGAUUAUUAAUUCCUUAUCAGAUACCUGAAUUGCAAUUAUUUCCUUAUUCUGUAAUUACCUUUUUACAAUGCUGAUAGUGUCUUUGAUGUCUAAUUAAAAUGUUGUUUUCAAAAAGUUUAUAUAAUCUAUUUUUUUCUUUUAUUGUCUAUGCUUUCAGCAUCACAUCUGAUAAAUCAUUACCAAAUGCAACACCAUUACACGUUUUGCCUUUUGUUUUCUCCAAGAGUUUUACAGUUUUGAGCAAUGCAUUUGGUCAUGGAUCCAUCUUGAGUUAGUUUACACAUAUGAUAACGGUAAAGGUCAAACUUUAUUAUUAUUGUUAUUUUUUUUGCAUGUAAAUAUUUAAUUUCUCUAGAAAACUGUAAGUAUUAUCUUUCUUCCUUUCAGCAGUCAUGGCAUCCUAUUGAAAAGCAUUUAAAUACACAGGUGAGGGUUUAUUUCCAGACUCUGUUCCACUGACUUACAUACCUUUCUUUAUGCCAAAACCAUGUUGAUUGUUAAGUGUAGCCUUGUUCUAAAAUUUGAAAUCAGGAAAUGUUUGUCCUCCAGCACUGUUCUACUUUUUCAAGAUUGUUUUGGUCAUUCAGAGUUCCUUGAGACUCCAUAUGAAUUUUAAGAUAGAUUUUUCUAUUUCUGAAAAACUGACUGGGAUUUUGAUAGAAACUGCUUUAAAUCUAUAGAUCACUUUGGACAGUGUUGGCAUAUUACAAAUAUUAAGUCCUCCAGUCGUGAACAUGGCAAGCCUUUGCAUUUAUUUGUGAUUUCUUCAAUUCCUUUUAGAAAUAUUUUUGUACUUUUCUUUAUAUAAACCUUUUACCUACUUGGCUAAAUUGAUUCUUAAUGGUUUUUUUUUUUGGAUGCAAUUGCAAAUUGAAUUGUUUUCUUAAUCUUUUGAAUAUAGAAAUGGGACUAAUUUUUGUGUGUUGGCUCUAUAUCCUGCUAUAUUUUGCCAAAAUUAUUUAUUAGUUCUAACAAUUUUGUGAAAUUUAUAAAGGUUUCUACAUGUAAAAUCAUGUAAUCUGUGAAUAGAUAUUAUUUGACUUCUUCCUUUUCAAUUUAAUGUUUUUUAUUUAUUACGUUUGUCUACUUUCUCUGAGUAGAACUUCCAGUAAUAUGUUACACAAAAAUCAUGAAAGUGAUUGUCUUUGCCUUAUUCCUGAUAUUAGUGAAAAAGCUUUCAGUUUUCACCAGUGAGGAUGAUGUUCACUGUGGAUUUUCAUACAUGAAUUUUAUUAUAUUGAAGUAAUUUUCUUCUUUUCCUAAUUAGUUCAGCAUAUUUUGUAUCCUGAUAGAGUGUUGAACUUUGUCAAAUGCUUUUUCUUCAUCAAUUGGGAUUCCAUUUCUUUUGUUUUUUUUUUCCUUCAUUCUGUGAAUAUGGUGUAUUACACUGACUGAUUUUUUUUCUAUGUCCCAUGCAUUUCAGUAUGCAAAUUCUGAUAAAGAUGUGAAACUAUCUUUGAAUUCCAUGCAUAAAUCCUAGUUGGUCAUUGUAUAUAAUCCUCUUAAUAUGUUGCUGAAUAUUAUAUUGUUGAGGUUUUUCUAUCAAUAUACAUAAGGACACCAUAUGUUUUCUCAUAUGGUGUCUGUCUGGCUUUGGUACUAUGAUAGUGCUAGCUUCAAAUAAUGAAUUAGGUAAUAUUCCUCUUCUAUUUUUGAAAAAACUUUGUUACUUUUUUAAAGAUUGGUUUUCAUUCUUUAAAUACUUGUUAGAAUUCACCAAUAAAGUUAUCAGAUUUAAGGCUUUUCUUUGUCAAUAGAUUUCUGAAUACUUACUUAAUCUCCUACUAUUUAAUAUACUCAUCUUUAUAUUUCUUCAUGUUUUAAUAUUGGAAAAUUUUAUAUUUCUAGAAAUGUGUCUAUUUAAUCUAGGUUAUCCAGGUUGUUCGUGUAUAAUUUAUUACAUACCAUUUGGUGUACAAUUUCUUAUUCUCUCUUCUAAUUAUUAUUUCUGGAAUCAUUAAUAAUGCUCCCACUUCCCUUUCUGAUUCUAGUAUUUUGAGUCUUCUCUUUUUUCAUAGUCCAUACAGCUAAGUUUAUCAAUUUUGCUCAUCUUUUCUAAGAACUAAUGUUUGGUUUCAUCGAUUUACUCUGCUAUUUUUUUACUCUCCCUAUUUUUCAAAUUUUCCAAUCUAUUAUUUCCUUCCUUCUGCUAGCUUUGGGUUUAGUCCCUGCCUCACCACCCAGUUCCUUAUAUUGUGAAAUUAGGUUAUUGAUUUGAGAUAUUUCUUGCUUUUUAAUGUAAGCAUGUACAGUUAUAAAUUUCCCCCUUACUACUGCUUUCUCUAUGUCCCAUGAGUUUCAGUAUGCAGUGUUUCUGUUUUUAUUCUUCUGUAAGUACUUUCUGAUUUCCUUGUGAUUUCUUCUCUGACCAUGGGCUAUUUAAGAAUAUGUUAUUUAAUUUGCCAUAAAUUCUGAUUUUACCUAUUUUCCUUCUGUUAUUGACUUCUAGCUUCAAUCCAUUGUGGUCAGGGAAGAAACUCUGUAUGAUAUCUUUUUAAAUCUAUGGAAACUUAAUUGGUCCAUCCUUAUGUUCUAUCUUGAAAAAGUCCUAUGUGAACUGUGGCUAUUAGGUAGACUGUUCUGUGCAGUUCUGAGCAUGUCUAAUUUAUUUAGUGUGUUUUUCAAGUUCUCUCUUUUCUUACUUAUAUUCUGUAUGGUCAUGGUAUCCGUUAUGAGAAUGGGGUACUAAAGUUCCCAGCAAUGAUUAUAGCAUUGUCUAUCCCUCCAUUUCUGCCAACUUUUGGUUCAUAUAUUUAAUAUUUGCUUAUUGGCCUUAUAAAUGCUAACCAUUUUAUAUCUCCUUAUUGUAUUGAAACAUUAUCAUAUAAUAUUUUCUUUAUCUCCUUUAAACAUUUUUUUGUCUUUAAGUGCAUUUGGUCUAAUAUUAGCAUAGCUACCCCUGCUCUCUUUUGGUUACUAUUUUCAAGAAAUAUCUUUUUAUAACCUUUCAGUUUUGACCUAUUUGUGUCUUUUGUAGAAAAUAGAUAGUUGGGUUUUUAAAAUUCAUUCUUCCAUCUCUGUGUUUUGAUUAGAGAGUUUGAUCCAUUUAUAUUUAAAGUAAUUACUGAUAAGGAACUUAAGUUUACUAUCUGUUCUAUUAUAUGCCUUACAACUAUUUUUGUCCCUCAUUUCUUGCAUUGCUAUUAUUUCUUUUUUCUUUUUUUUUCCGGUAGUGAAACAUUUAAAUGACUCUCUCAUUUAUUUUUAUUUUCAUUCUUUACUUAUUUUUUGUGUUAUUAGCAUGGAGAUUACCUUUAACAUUCUAAAACUGUAACAUUCUAAUUUGAGAUUAUGCCAGUUUAACUUCUAUCAAUCUGUGCUUCCUUAACAAAUUUAUCUUUCUUCCUUUCAAUUGUUAAUGCCAAAAUUACAUCUUUAUAUAUAUGUGUCCAAAAACAUAAACUAAUAAUUUUUAAUGUGCUAUUCUCUUAAAUCAUAUGAAACACACAAUGUAGAAUUAACAAACAGAAGUUACAAUGAGACUAGGUUUUAGACAAUAUUCGGGAUUUUAUACCUCUUAAAACAAGUAGAAAAUUAAAAGUGGGGUUAUAUAUGAUUGUUAUAAUAAUAGCUUUUAUGAUUGCUGUGGUUUUUAUCAUCAUAUGCUUUUGAGUUAUCUGUGAUCUUUUAUUUCAACCUAUAUGACUCCCUUCAGCAUUUUUUUUUGCAGAGAAAGUCUAGUGAUAACAAGCUCCUUCAGCUUUUGUUUACAUAAGUAUUUCUAAACUAUGUCCUUCAGUUUUUGUUUUAUUGCUCUAAGCAUAUUGAAUAUAUUGGCCCAUUGCUUUUUGAGAAAUCUGUGGAUGAUGUUACUAAGGAUUCUGACCAGUCACUUCUUUCUUUCUAAUCCUAAAAUUCUCCUUUUUGUAUUUGGUUUUCAACAUUUAUUAUAAUAUGUCUUCAUCUAAGUCUUUUUGAGUUAAUUUCACCUGGAAUUAAUUGAAGUUUCUUGGAUGUUUAUAUUCAUGUCUUUCAUCAGAUUUGGGAAGUUCACACCAUUAUUUCUUCAAAUAUUCUCUGCUACUUUCUUUCUCUCUUCUCUUUCUGGAAUUCCACAAUGUGUUUGUGGCUGGAUGUCCUUGAUGGUGUCCUGCAAAUGCUUUAGAAACUAUUCAUGCUUCUCCAUUUAUUGUUUUGAGUCACAAUUUUCUAUUGAUCCAUUUAAUUCUAUCAUUUUUCAUUUCACAUAUUUUGAUGGUCUAUUAUUAGAUAUGUAAAUAUCUUUAACAUCUUAAUCUGUGUAGUUAAAAGUUUAUCUUAUAUCCAGAUUCAUGGAUUCUUUAUUUUGCCUAUUCAUAUCUGAAUGUGAAGCCCUCUAGUGAAUUUUUCAUUACAGUUAUAGCACUUUAUGAUUACAGAACUUCUUUUGGUUUCAUUUUUGGUUUUCUAACUCUUUAUUGGUAUUUUAUAUAUAUAACUUUAUUCAUAUCUUCAUUUAUCAUCUUGAAUGUCUUUAAGAUAGAUAUUUAAAAGUUUUUGUCUAAUAGAUUUGUCAUAAGGUUUUUUUCAAUGUCAAUUUCUGUUUAUAUUUUCCCCCAUUUGGGCCAUGCUCUUCAGCAUUUUUGCAUGUUUUGUGAAGUUUUGUUUAAAACUGGACAUUUGAAUCUAAUAAUGUGAUAACUCUGGAAAACAAAUUCUCUACUUUACAGGGGUUACUACUUUCUUUGUUUGUUUAGAAUGACUAAGUUGUUUCCAUACUAAACUGGCCUUAGAUAUAAACUUAAGUUCUUCUCAAACCUUUUCUGACCCUUUGCCUUUCCUCCGCAUGCACAGUGACAUCCAUUUCCCCUUACAUGUGUGGUUGCUCUUUAAUGUCUUUCUGUUAAAAGGAAAAGAAGGAAAAAUGAAGAGGUAAGACACCAUCCCAUUUAAUAUCAAGUAAGUAGCUUCAGCCAGAGUGGGAAAGGAUUGCAACAAUUAGUGUGCCUUUGCGAUCUGAAGGCAUAAUCUGGAGUCAGGACAGCAUGAUGAUAUCUGGAAGCCACUGUCUUUUGGCCUCCCCUGGUUCCCACAAGUUGUUCAAACUGCUCCAGAAAUAAGUGUGCAAGUGCUUGAUAUGGUGAUGAGGGAAGGGGAUCCUACUGCUAAGAGCUCAAAAUGACAGUUUAUCAUGAAACUUUUACCCAGGAAGAUUUUAUGAUCUUAGAGUAUUGGUAACAUUGUCAGAAAUCUUACACUUGCACCACAACUUUAAUAUACUUCUGUAGAUUUGAGAGUUCCCCCAAAUAAUUGUAUCAAACACAUUCUGCCAUUUUAAUUGUUGUCCAGGCAGGAUGACACAUUCUUGCUACUUCAUAUUCUGCCAUUUCCCAAGAAUCUUCCACCUAAGUGUUACUUUUUAACAACACAAUUUUUACCUGUUGCUCUUCUUUUCUUCAAAUGUAAUUUUCAAGCACAUUUGCUUAUUUCUGUAUCCCUUUUCCAAAUAUGGUGUUUAGUAUAUACCUGAUGCAUGCUUCAAAAUAUGCAAAAGUAUGAAUGAAAUUUGUUGCCUCUAUUCCAUGUCAUGGAUUUACUGAUUAUAUUUUUCUAAUCUGAAAAUAUUUAUUUUAAAUUUUUCAUUAUAUUGAUUCAAUAAUCCAUAUGAAUUCCAUUUGCCAUGUUUGUAUUUUAUGAUCUUAGAGCCUUGGUAACACUGUCAGAAAUCUUCACACGCACCAUCAUCUUUUCCCAGUUUCUUUUGUAUUUACAGACUUAAUUCCCUUUCUAACAGUGAGUAAUUCCAUAAGCAAGCUUUUUAUAGCUUUAAUCUAAAUCUUCUUAGUGGGUGGCUAACCUUUGAGAGUCACUGUUUGAAAAGUCUCAUCAGAAAUAUCUGUUUUCAUGGCUCUGUGUUAAUAUCAGACAUAAUCCAGAAAUUUUCAUAGUACACAUAUUUGAUCUGUCAAAAUAAAAUACUCAGAACUGCUGCCUUGCUUAUGCCCAAUAGAAACACUGUAAAUAAAACCAGCAUUGCAGUCAGUAAUCUAAAAUAACAAAAUAGCUUCGCUUUUUGAAAUAUAACCCAGAGCUAAGACAGGAGUAAAAGUAAGGUAAAAUUUGCCCAUGUAGGUACAUGGAAUUUUACUUGUUUUAAGUUGUUGAUGCCUCCUCGUAUUCUCUAUAUCCUAACACACAGAAUUGUUCCUGGGUUUAGGAGAAGGAGGGAAAAAUAGAGUGGGAGGGUAUAUGUACAUUCUCUCUCUCUAAAUUUUGACAUAUGUUCUAGUGUUACAAACAGAAAGAAGAAAAACCAGUUGCCAUUAUCUUAUUUUGAAGUCUUUAAAUCAUAACAGCCCAAGAUGGUUAGUAUUCAUUAUGCUAAGUCCAUAAAGGUUCAACAGAGAAGUCAUUGAAUAUAAAAGUCAAACAUUUAGGCAAUAAAAAACCAAACAUUUUUCUUAGCAUUUUGUUUCAGAAGCUUUUUAGUGAGGCGGUAAGAGAAGAUAAAACAUUAAUGAAGAGCAGGAAUUGAACAAGUGGGUUCCAGUUCUACCUUCCUUGUGUUCACAUUGUCAUUGCAGCCCUCAAUUUUGUCACCACUGCAACAACAUGAUGAGGUCCCUGGAGGAGUUCCUGAAGGAAAUCCCUCUCGUUUAGUAUAUUUUGUAUAAUUGAGACACAUUAAUAUUUUCAGAUUGUAGUCUUAUUACACGUUCAGAAAAGUAAACUGUAACACAGAAGAACUUUGGGAGCUGGGAGUACAACUCAGUGAUGCAACAUCUGCCUAGCAUGUGCAAGGCUCUGGGUUCAAUCUCCAGAACCACACACAAGUUUUUUAUCAAGAUGUUUUUUUACAAUAUAUAGAUUAUGAAGCUUCAAGGACUUUGAAACAUCAAAGUAUUGGAUAUUGAUCCCUCAAACUCCUGAAUAAUUUGUAUGUAGUGGGUGCCAUUUUAUUACUACAGAAGCAGACUUCAAGAUAUCCAGUAAUUUUUCUUACCCAGACCAGGGGCUACAUGUUCUUUUUACUCAGCUUUCAUUCUGAGAGCCAUGGUAUUCCAAUGGUUGGCUGGAAAUCUGUGUUGAUUCUCAUAAUAAAGCAGCUCACACUUUAACUUAGUCCCAACAUCAUGCCUAGAAAAAAGUCAUUUGUUCUAUAUAGCUUCAUUGACUAGUGAAAUUUUAACUAAAUGACAACCACAGUAACCAUUGCACACAUAAUAUAUCUAUAGGCUUAGUCCUCUGUGUAUUCCAUUCUAACACAUUAUUCUGAAACCUUAAAGUUGUUGGAAAACUUAUUUGAAUUUGGUGAGCUAAAAUACAAUGUCACAGGACCAUGUUCCUCUGCUAACUUUAUUUUGAAGUACACACCUCUAAACACAUACACACCCAGAAAAUCAUUUCUAACACACUUGUGUUAAUCAGUUUUUUCUCUUUAUUACCAAAAUACCUGGAAAAAAAAACAGCUUAGAGGAGGAAUAAUAUAUGUUGCCUUAUGAUUUCAGAGGUUCAGUCCAUAGUUGGCUGCCUACACUCUUCUGGGCUCAAGAUGAGGUAGAGCAUCAUGUUGGAAGGACAGUGGCAAGGGAAAGCUGCUCUACUCAUGGUGCGUGGUGGCCAGGAAAAAGAGGGGCAUCAGGGAGGAAGAGCCGUAGGUUAAGAUGAACCCUUUCAGGACACACUCCCUGUGACCCACCUCCUCCAGACCCUGCCCCCUACCUGCCUACACCCAUUAAUCCAUUCAAAUCAGAAUGGACUGAUUAGACUACAGCUGUUAGAAUGUAAUCAUUUCACCUCAGAAAAUUCUAGCAUUAACACAGGAGCUCUGGAGGAACACCACUUAUCCAAACCAUAAUACCACUGAAAAUUUCUUGAGUGUAGUAUUUGUUUCCAAAUCAUUUUGAUAUUCCUAUUUAUAGGAGACAGACAGAUGAUACAUAUUUGUUGGCUGCUGGGAGAAUAGUGUUAAUUUCCUUUAGAUUAACAAAUCUUGCCCUAUGCUCAGCAGCCUUUAGAAAUUCUUUCAUCCAUCAUUCAUCAAUGAAGUCAUCAGCUUUAAUUUUUUCAUGUAAAUAAAGCAUUUUAAAGCUUUUUUAAAAAAACUAACUGACCUUAGUAGAGGAGCAGUGAAUCCCAUAUUAGCCAGGGAAACAAUACAGGACUGUAAAAAUAUUAGAGCAAUUAUUUCUCAAUAUUAUGUAAGCAUUCUCAUUGUGGCAAAUAGUUUGAUAAAUUUACAUGUUAGAGUCUUUUGAUGUUCUGUUGGCUUUUAUUCUGUCAAUUGCAUGACUACACAUUUUAAAGUAUUUUCUUAUUGGCAUUCCCAGUUAGAAAUUUCCAUCUUUUUUUAAUAUUCUACUUCUGUGUAUCAUAAUAGCCAGUAAUUAAAAAUCUUUCUUAAAUGUCUUUAUUUAAAUUUAAAAUGCUUUUAAAAUUAAAUAUCCUUUACUAAAAAAGGGAAAUCACAUCCAAUUUUAUGAGUUUAUUACAAAAGGACUAGUAACAAUAUCAGUUUAAAUAAAUGAUGUUCACGUCACACUGUUAGGAACAUUCAUAGGAGAGUGACCAAAGCAGGGAAUAACCUUCAAUACUAUGAAUAAAAACUACAUACUGGUUCAAAUGAAACCAAAUCCCACCUACUAUUUCUGACUAAUUUAGUUUAUCCUAUUAUUUCUUUUGUAUUGUACCUGGUCUUCCAGGAAAGAUUAACCACUAAUGCUUAUUUCCUUUGAUUUACCAUUUAUCAUCUUUGUUUGACUCCUUUGGGAAUCACUUCAAAUAUUCAGAGAGCCUAUUGUAAAAAUCCCUUGUGAUCUUUUAUUCUGAAGGAUCAUAUACAGAAGUUUAAGAAGCUGAAAAGCUAUUAUAGAUGACAGUCAUUGGGAUUCUGUUCCUGUCAUGAAAUUGAAUCACUGAGAAUUAACACUAAAUGGCAGCUUAAAGAAAAAUAUAUGGGACAGAUGAAUGAAAAGAUUUUUGGAUAAAUAAACAUUUUUUUUUUUCUGAAUCAGUAAAUUUUUCAUCAAUUCCACAUUUAAAAAACAAAAGUUAAUAUUAAUACACUCAAAGAACAUAAGUAAGCUUAUGAAAGAAACUAUGGCUUAAACUUAGUCUCAAUAAAUUGAAAAUACAUUUAUUUGUAGUUUGCUAUAUUUGCAUUAAGAAAAGCAUUCUAAAAGCAAUUUAUAUUUAGAUCGACAUGAUCUUAUAAUUUCUUAUGGUAAAAUCAUAUAAACAUAAACCAACUGAAAGUAUCAAAUAAACCUAAAUAUUAUGAAAAUUUAUAGCAAACUAAUUUGAACUCAUAUUUUAGAAGUCAAAAGCAAUUUUAGAAAUCAAUCUCAAAAAGUUUUAGCAUUUUUCAAAGAAUAAACUGAAGUGCUUAGUAUACUAAAAUGGCAUGCAUAUUGCAGAGAACUAGAAAUAAUUUGAAUAUGAGAAUAUUAUUGGGCUGGGGAUAUAGCUCAGUUGGUAGGGUACUUGCCUUGCAUGCACAAGGCCUUGGGUUCAAUCCCCAUGCACCACACACAUACACACACACAUGCACACACACACACACAAGAGAAUUUUAUAAAAAAUAAACAUAAAAAUUAUAUUAAUGAAGGUAAAAAGACAAAAUAAUUUAUAUCGGGGAUACCACUCUCAGAGACAGAAUAUUAAUCGAACAUGUCUUGAUUCAUAUUUUCUUUCUGCAACACAUAUCUUGUCAUGUUACUAAAAUAUUCAAUGUCAUUAAAAUAUUCAAUGACUCCCAUCAUUGUUAGGCUUUGUCUAAGAAAUUUUAUAUGGUGUCUAGGGAUAUGACACCUGUUUUUUUCUCCACUAUAAUCCACUACCACGUAUGGAGUUGCUUUUCUAAUCCACCAUUGCAAUAAUGAAAAGAAAUCACUCUGCCAUGCUGAUACCAUCUGCUGAUAGUCUUCCUCUGUUUAUGUGAAAAAUUUCUGGUAACCAUUUAGUGCCCAACUGCAAUGAUACAUCCUUUUAUAAAAUAUGCCCUAAAUUUUUCAGAGAGAACUUAUGCCUUCAUGCUCACAUGUAGUUCUACUCAUUUACUUAUCAUAAUGUAUUGUGAUAAUUUGUCUACACAUGCUCCUCUUCUACUCAAUCAUAAGCUUUUGAAGACAGGGUGCUCUUACAGCUUUUAAUAUUUAUAAUGUAAAUAUCAAUGAUUAUUUGCUACAUUAAUUAAAUCUUAUCACAGCCCUUUCAGUUAUUAAUUAUUGAAACUGGCCUCAUCUAUUAUUUUCUAAUGCUAAAAUUAUUAAUAAAGCAACUAAUAAGCCCAAUCUUGUCAUUAAUUUUAGGUAGCCUUGCGAUAAGUACCUUGAUUUUUACUUUUCCCUGGCCUCUUUGGAUCAUAUUUUACUAUUUUUCUUAUUAUAGCCUAAGGAAAUGACAAUAAAAUGCUUUUUUCAUUGACUAUACUUCAUAGGUAGUGAAUUCGGACUCUAAGCUUUUUAGAAAUUUUUUGGAAAAUUAGAUUCUAAUCUUGAAAAAUCAUGACUUCCUGCUUCAAAGAAAGGUUGUAAAAGGUUUUAUAAGGCUAACAGAUGCAAGAGUCUCCUUGAACAUCAAAUGGCACUCAUAAAUUAUCAUUUGAUGAAUAGAUAUUGAUGAAUUAGGUAUUAAUGAAUCAAUUGUAGAAACUAAAUUGCCCUUCAAAUGUUCAUGUACAGAAAUGGAAAGUUUAAAUUCACUUAGUUUUCCUCCACACACAAACUUUAAAUGAAGGUUUAAAAAAACUCUAAUAUGUUUUUUUAAUUAGAGCUGCCCUAUGUGUAAAAUAUUUGGGGCAGCCAGAUUAUUAGGAGAAAUUAAUUCUCUAAAUAACUGCAUAGUAGCUAUUAAUGUUAAACUUCAUUAUAUCAACUGACACUUGGGAAAAUGAUAAUAUAGUGGCAUAUUUUGUAUAUCUUAGUCCAUGAAUUUCUUAAAAUAAUUAUAUAGUUGAUGUUAUAAAGGAAGGUAUACAAUAAAUUUCUAUACUCUUUUUGAUUUUGCUGUGAAUCUAAUACUGCUCUAAAAAAUCUGAGAAACCAUUAUAAGUUAAGUUGGUUUUUAUUUUGCUAAAACUAAAUAUUGACUUAAGCACCAUAAAACACAGUGUCAAACUGUUUCCCAGGUGCUUAUCUGAAAUCUAUUUUUUUAAUAAGCCAUCAAACAUAGGGUCAUAUUACUGUGUUACAUAUGAAAAUUUAGGAUUAUUAGUUAUUUCACACAUUGAACUGACACUAAUAAUAAUCUAAGCAUUUGCACAAAUGAUCAUUUGUAGAUCUCAUUAUAACAAUUAGACCUUAUAAUAAUUUUUAUUAUUUUUAUGAUUGCCUGUUCUAUGUGAUAUUUUACCUAAUUUUAUUCUUUAACAAUAUGUGUGUUUACCAAAAAGCAUGAACUCUUAUAGCCUUGUAGGAGUUUAAUAGCUGUUAUGCAAAACAUCUCCCUGCUUGAAAAAAUAAGUUAUUUAGGAAACUAUUUUGUUUGGAUAAUAUACAAAAUUAAAAUUUCUGUUGGUUACUUUUGCUUAUCUAAUAAUUUUAGUACAUAUCAAUUAUUCUAAUAGUGUAAAGCUAUUGAAAUAUGCAUAUUUAUUUUAUGUUGUGUCACAAUUACUGUACUCAGGAAGAAUAAAAUUUUUAAAAAAUGAAACAUAAAUGAAAGAAAAGGUAAGUUGUAUAUAAUGAAAUGGAAAGAAUGAUAAUAGACACGGUUUCCAAAAUUGGGUUUACCUUGGUUCCAUUUGUAUUGACAAAAUAAUGAUCCCACACUCCUCAAUAUUUUGAGGUAAUACAUAUAAAGAUUAAUGUGUGGGGAUUGAGGUUUUGGCUCAGUGGUAGAGCACUUGCCUAGGGCAUAUGAGGCACUGCAUUCGAUCUUCAACAUCACAUAAAAUAUAAAUAAAUAAAAUAAGUUGUUUUUUUUUUUUUAAAAAGGUUAAAGUGUAUACUUUCACUUUCUGUCUCCAAUACUUGCAAGUAAAGUUUGCAAUAGCUCUUGGGAGCAUAUCAUGGUGGUAUUUUUAUGCUGGUUAUAUAUACUUACAGAUAUUUUGUCAAUAAUGUGAUCAGAAGGAUCACAAUAAUGUGAUCCAUGUCUACUACUUUACUCACUUUUCCGCCUCUCACCAGCAUUGCCAAUGGUAAAAUAAACCAAGAUGAUGCAAGUGUUUUCACCAUCUUUUUUCCUUUACAUGUAUCUUACCUGAUAUGGCAUCCUUGGUUGGAGGAUUAAGUCCUAUGCCCUUUUCUAUGCCCCACUGAAAUGCUUAGGUUCUUUCUGAGGAAUAGGGAUUAAAAUAGGGAGGUGAGGAGAACAUUGAAUAAUAGGUAAUCAAAUACACUAUUUAAAAACUUUAAAUUCUCUAUAUCAACAAAUUAUACCUUUUAGUAAUUCAAAGUUCACUAGUUAAUUAUGUUAUGUAAUACAUGGUAUAGCUUUUACUCCUGUUAGUCAGCUAUAUUAAUUUUCAAAUUUUACCUGUAAAAUAGUUUAACUAUCAAAUGAUUCAGUGAUCUCUUAUUCACACAGUUGUUACAAAUGAACAAAAUUGAAUUUAUAAAACUUUAAAAUGUUUAUUAGUUCAAUUUUGCAGUAUCAAUCACUGUAAGAAAUUCACUAGAAAAACACACAAAUGCUUUUUAGACCCAGAGAGAUAUAGUUAGUAUGUAAAAUGUUAAUUAUUAUAACAUUCUUCAGUGGAGAGAUUCAUAGGGAUUCCAAUCCAGUAAUUUAAAAUAUGCUUAUUAAUCUCAAGCUCUUACCAGAACUCUCUUUAAAUUGCUUAAAACUAUUGUCUUUAUCUUCCUGAAUGCCUCAUUAUUUUAUUUUCUUGGAGAACAUGAACCUGACUGUGAGUUCUUUCUCUUCUAUAGUUCACCCUUGGACUUCACAAUGAGUACCAUCUUGCUUUGAACCCCCUAAACUUCAGAGAAAAUGCAAAAUAGCUUUUAGAGAGAGUUUUGAUUCAUUUGAAACAAAGGUGUCUUACUCUGGUCCUUUUUCCCUCAAAUUUAGCAAUUUAUAUUCUAUUAUGUAAAAAAAUUUUAUUGUCAGAUAAAUUAUUUUUAUAGUCAUUUUGUAUUUACUAAAUUGUUUAUAGUUGUAGUAUCUAAUUAAUUGUUUUCUUUUUUAACUGAUGAAUUACAUACAAUUUUGGUGAAAAGUACUUAAUGGAGAGUUACAUUAGCAAUCUGAAAAAUAAGGGUACAAAUUUUAUACCAAUUAAAUUUACAGAUAAUUCUAUAUAGGGAAGUGUUUAGGAUACAAGUGAUAGUAUAGAAAUAAUGCCAGAAAAAUCCCUAAAAUCAACAUUUAAGUGAAUUUUAAAAUUAUAUAAAAAUUACAGCUUGCUUUUUAGCAACUAGUGUAGAAUCAUUAUAAUAUAAAUAUGUGUUAAGAAGUAAAAUAUCUGUGAUUAGUGGCCAUGAAGUUUGAAAUUAUAAGUAAACAUGAAAUUUGAUGUAAACAUGAAAGAAAUAAUUUCAUCAGUCAUAUAAAAUAUUGUAUUUGUUCUUUUGAACGUGUUUCUGCAAGCAUAUUUUUUCUAUUUUCUCAUAUUUAUUAUAACUAUUGAGAAGUUCCCAGAGCUAUGAAAAGGAUGAGACAAAUGUAUAAUUUGUUUAAGAGAAGUAAUUAUAUGACCUCCAACAUAACAAGUUGAUACAAUAAAUUGCUUGAUUAUUUAAAUCCAUACAGAUUUCUAUAACAAAGCAGUUAUUUAUUGAACAAAAUGCUGUAAUUAAAGUUCUUUAAAUUGCACUCUUACAUUUUGCUCAGGAGAAUAUAAAAUAGUCUUAUUAUUGAAGUUUAUUAAGCCAAUAUAAAUUAACUAAUUGUUGUAUUUUUAUAUUAGUUAUUCAGCCACAUUGGACAACUAGAAUCUACUCUCAUGUGUCAUUGUACUCUUUGAAGCCACCAUGAGCAGUUGUGUCUAACUGUAAUUAUUUAGAAUAGCAGAUGGGGUUAAGGGAGUAUUAUUCUCUUAUUUAUCUUACCAAAUUUAUGAUGAGACUGUGAUGAUUUUCAGGAGAAUCCUAUUUUUUUAGAGGGGAAUAUAUGCACUAGCAUUGUUUCUUUAAAAAAAUGAUCUCACAAAAACAAAAUGUUAUUUUAGAAUUUGUAGACUCUGAAUGAGUCUGCAUUGAUUCUUGCAUAUAGAUCUAUUUACAAUAGGAAGUAGCAAUAUACUGCUGUAUAAUUUUUGCAUAAGUGUUUUCUCGCAUAAUUCUCACCAAAUAUAGAUUAUCUGUGGUGUUGCAGCAUAAAUGUCCACUUUGAUUUGUAUUACCAUUCCCUGUUCAUAGUGAAUGGAACAUCUAGUACAUCAUUCGUAGCAUCUGAAAUGGUAAUAUAUUUCAAUUCUACAUAUGGGUGAGUAGUUCAUUUACAAUAUGUGGUUUUCCUACCACAUUAGAUCAAAAUAAUACAAAGUUUUAAUAACCAAUUUGAAAGUAUAAAAUUAACUCUAAAAUAAAAACUAAACUAUUGAUUUUGAAAAGGUAAGAUUAUUAUUACUGAAAGUUAUAAAGUUCUUUAAGUCUCAAAAGUUGUUAAAAUGAGUAUGGUGUCAAUUUUUUCUCUAAUGGUGAAGAAGGGAAAGUUAAAGCAUAUUAAAUAAUUAAUACAGAUUUGUAAUAACCCUAUAGUUUAAUGAGUUAAUAUUGGAAAGAAGAGUGGCAUUAGGAAUAUAUUCUUGUUAAUUGUAAAACAAAUUGCUUUAUCUAAAUGCUGAAGAGCAGACUGAGUGAACACUGAAUGCCGCAGUCUGGCUGGGCACAAUCAGGAGCCACUUGUCAAAAGAAACUAACUUUAUUUUUAGAACCACACACGCCAAACAAAACAGCCUCUCAGGAAAAACCCUCAGAGCCUCAACUGCCACCNCUGGGGCCGCUGUGAGCCAAUCAUCAGCCGGCAGCUGGAAGUUUGCUGGCAGCUGGAAGUUUGCUGGGGCCCCUUCGGCUGUGGCUCUCAACAACUGAAGUUCCCCUUAAUCUCAUAAUUUCAAAAUUAGUACAAUGUUAGGCUCAUUCUACUAAAUUCUUAGAUGAAAUAAAAUUAUAUAAUAUUGGCUGCAGUUCAUUGACAACAUCAAUUACCAAAUAUUUAAUGAGGGCCAACUGUGGAUCUGACACUUUUCUAGGAACUAGAUAUACAUAAAUGAGCAAGCCAGGUAAAAUAUUUGCCCUUCAGGACCUUAUAUUUACUUGAGAAAACAAAUAAAAUCAGUAAAUGAAAAUGGAGACAUAGAUAUAGAUAUGGGUAUUAGUUAUGACAAAAAAUAAAUAAAGGCAUGGGGAUAAAAUUAAAUCACAAAGUGUCUAUGAAGAUAUCUAUUUCUAUUUUAUCAGGUAGUCAGAGACCUUUUGGGUUAAGUGACAUACAAAAGAUAUGAAGUACCAAGGUUAUACACAGGAACUGUGUUUAUGGUCAAGGAAUAACAAAUACAAAGCCUUCAAGGGAGAAAUGUGCUGGGGGAUUUCAAGAAAUAGCAGGAAAACAAUGUGGCUGCAAAGGAAGAAAGAUAGGAAAAAAGGCCGGAGAGAUAAUUCAAAACUUACCAAUAUUCAAACACAGAAAAAUUCACAAAAUUAUAAUAACUGUAAGUUUUUUUUCCAUAGUUUUUAUGUAGUAUUCUCAUAGCACCAAGAGUAUGAACAUAUCUUCUUUUACAUUGUAGUUAUUCAGUAGAAAUUGUUAUGUUAUGUAUUUGUCUAAGUGGCAAUAAAUUAAAAUGUUAUAAUAAUUAAACUAUGAUCUACUGAAGGGUACUUUAGUCUGAUUCUAAUUCCAGAAUAUAUUAUAAUAUUAAUCACUAGAAGGUCAAAAUACCUAAUUGUUCAAUGAAUGAAUGAAUGCAUUAAAAUUCUCUAUUACAAUGAGCAAUAGCAUAACAUGGUUAAAAACACUGGCUGAGUGGUUAAACUGCCUGAAUUAGAACUGUUUCUUUGGUUACCAUGGGGAUUACAACUAACAUCCUAAAUUUAUAAUCAUCUAGUUUUUAGUAUAUCAAGUAGUUUCCAUAGUGUACAAAAAAUUUAUUUCUAACCAGCUUUUCUUCCAUGAUGUUGUUCUAGUCAUAGAUUAGAAUUUUUGUAUUAUGUGCCCAAUAAUAGAUUUAUAAUUAUUUUAAUGUAUUUGUCUUUUAAAUCAUGUAAGAAAUAAAAGUCAGAGUUACCAAAAUGCAAUAAUCCAAAGUGUAUCAAUACUAUCUUUAAAUUUACUUAUGUAGUUACCUUUACUGGAGGAUAUUAUUUCAUUUUAUCUCUUCAAGUUGUUGUUUAGUGCCCUGAUGGUUCAACCUGAAAGACUCUCUUUAACAUUUCUUCUAGGCAGGUAGAUUGAUACUCUCCUAGCUUUUAUGGGGAAUUGUAUUAGUUUCUUAUAAAAUUUUGAAUGAUGAUUUUGAUUGGCAUAAAAUUCUUAUUGACAUUUAAAAAAUAUAAUCCCACCAAACAUGAAUUCCACAAUUUCUGAUUUUAAAAAAGGCACUUAAAGAUUCCUCAUACAAGAUGAGUUGCUUCUCUCCUACUGCUUUCAAAAGUCUCUCUUUUCCUUGGCUUUCAAUAGUUUGAUUAGAAUAUGUCUCAGUGUGGUUUUCUUUGAGGUAAUAUUACCUGGCAUUUGUUGAACUAAAGAUGUAGAUUCAUGUUUUUCAUCAAAUAUGGAGAGGUUCUGGUCAUUAUUCUUCAUAUGUUGUUUUUAUUCCACAGGUUACAUUGUUUACUUUUCUUCAUUCUUUUUAGUCUGCUUUUCAAACUGAAUAAUUUUAAUUGAUGUAUAUUAUGAUUGACUGAUUCUUUCUUCUGCUUACUCAAGACUUUUUUUUAAAGCUUCCAAUGAAUGUUACUUUUGGCUGUUAUAGCUUUUAGUUCAAGAAAAUUUAAUUUUUCCACUUAUAAUUUCUCUAUCCUUUCAAAUACUACCAUUUCUACAAUACAUAUUUUUCCUAAUUCCCUUUAGUUCUUUGUCUAUGUUUCCAUUAGCACUUUUUGAACAUUUGAGGCAGUUUAUUUGAAGUAUUUGCUAAUAAUUCCAAUGUCUGUGAUUCCUCAGAGAUUUUCUUUUUGGUCAAUAUUUUUUUCUUAAGAAUGAAUAUUUUUACAUUUUUUUUAGUAUGGCUUGUGACUUUUUGUCCAAGGCUAAAUAUUUGAAUAAUAUUCAAUUAAAACUCUGAAAAAAUUUUUUUCUCUUUUUCCAGAACUUGCUAUUUUUGGUUGAGAAAGAUUCAGUUAUCUACUUGUUCCAAACUGUUUUAGAAACAUCAAAUUGCAUUUGAUGUCAUAUAUGGUCUUUGAAGUUCCAGUGCCUAGAGCUGUGUCCAUCUACUAUUUUGAUAGAAAUUUCCUUGACUUCUAAAGACAAUAAACAAACAAUAUUUCUCCCAGUUUUUGAAGAUUGCUUUUUUGCUUGAUUUUUUUUUCCUUUUUUUUUUAUGUUGUCUACAACUCUGAUUUAGCCUUCACUUCCUGCUUAUAGUGCCCAAAUUUUCUGUUGAACACAAAGGGGACUCUUACCAUUCAAUUAUUUUUCUGGUAGAGAUCAAGAAGAUGUGAAAGCUUAUGUUAUUCUCAAGUCUUUAUUGAUCCUGUUCUCUGUUCUGGACAUGUGUGUGGCUUUGUGAGCACUUUUGAAUGCUAUACUUUACUUUCCUAUAGAAGUCUCUUUCUCCAGCUUCUCCUUCUAGGCUUUAGGCAGUUUAUCUUAUCACCUCUUUGAUAAGAUAAAGAGUUGCAUCUUUAGAUUUUGUCUCAUGCAUCUUUAUUUUUUUUAUUUUUUUUGUCAAUUUAUUUUUUAUUAUUAUUAGUUGUUCAAAACAUUACAAAGCUCUUGACAUAUCAUAUUUCAUGUAUCUUUAGAUUUGUGUUUGCCUUACAAUAUUUUGAGGUGUAUUCCUUAUUGUUCCACCUUUAGAGAGUUCUGCUUUUUCUGAGAGUUCUGUUUUUGCAGAAAGUUCAUUCAACCUCUCUGUGUUUACUUCCUCAUGUAUACAAUAGAGAUAAUAAAAACACAAAGACAUAAUUAUUUAAGCUAAAUAAAUAAAAUGAAAAUUUUCAUAUCUCAGUUGCUUAAAACUAUGUUUUUACAUUCAUGCCACAUUUGUGGAAUAUUGUCAGAAAGGAGACCUACUUGUACUAGUAAGAAUCCAGGCUAUAGGUAGAGAUCUGUCUCCUCAAACAUUAGAGAAAAAUAUAUUACUCUGGCUAUUCGGAAUUCAGGUGAAACACAUCAUUUCCACUACACUGACCAAAUAAUGCUUCAUGGCCAUGCCUAAAUUCAAUACAUAGAGAAACCAAAUAAUACUAUAUAACAUGAAAGGAAAAAAGACAAUUAUAUAUAUAAAAUCCCAAUCACUAUCAUAGUGCCUGCUAGCAUAGGCAUGAAAAAUAAAUGAUUAAUAUUAGUUAAAUCAUUAGAUAAAUGCCUGGUACUUAGUAGUUGCUAUGUACAUAUUGCUAAGUACAUACACUUAGUGUUCAACAAUAAUUAUCAAUGAUCCUAUCAAUGAUCAUAAAUCUAUGGAAAGAUUGCUGUUCACAUAUUCACUCCAAACCCAUUUGAAAAAUAGUUAGUGUUCUUAAACAUAAUUUCAAUUGGUUUGCUAUUUUUCACAUCUAGUUCAAUACCUAGAAAUAAUUGACUAUUAGGAGUGAUAUCUGCUUAAAUAACUGAAAAAAUGCCAUUUUUAAAAUUGACAAUUUGCUAUUAUAAGAUAAAUUUAUAUGCAAGUAAUAAAUACAUUCUCCAUGGGAUUAAAUUAAAUCCCUGAAAAAUUAAAAACUUUGAACAGAAAUUUUUAAAAUAAGAAUUGAAAUAAAACAAAAUUUUAUAAUAGAAGCAUAAAUUAGUUAUAGGUAUUUUGGUUUCUAUAAUUCAUUUGUAUCACUUUGUUUUUUUCAGAAGCCUUGAAGUAAAUUCUCCUGUCUUCUAUCAUGUAAACAAAUAUCUUAUACAAUACUAUUAUUUCAGAAAUCUAAAGGAAUAUUUCAUCACCUUACCACUUUUGAACCAAACAACAUUAUAGUACCCCAUAUUUAUUAUAAGCUUACAUUUUGUAGUGGUCUUCUAAGAAGCACAUAAUAUCAAAAAAACAGUUUUGAACUAUUUUUUUUUGUUACAAAGUAGAGCAUUAUUAGAUCAUGUUAUGGAUAAAACAAUCUCUAUUCAUGGUUGGAAUGAAUGGGAAUUCUCUGAACUAAAAUUAAAUGUCUAUUUAUAAUGCAACCAAAUUACAUAGAAGUUUAGCAUACAGCCUAAAUCUCAAAAUAAUAUGACUGGAUACAAUAAUCAAGCAAAUUAAGGGUUUUUUUAUUUAAAAGGAUUUUUUCUUUAAAAUUGCAAAUACUAUGGGAUCCUUGAAGAGCAAGCCAAGAAUUGAAUUUUAUUCCUCAUUGGACCUGAAUCAUUUUUUCUAAUUAGCCUGCUAUAUUGGAGCUGUGACUCCAUAUGGACUAAAAAUAAAUGAAUAGUCUCUGCAUCAUCUUUUUCUUUGUGUUUUACUCCAAACCCUUUUCUCUAAAUAUUGUUUUAAAUUAUACCUUUCCAUGUUCAAAGAAAAGGAAGCAAACUUGAGAGCAUUUAAAAUUGUUUUUGAAUCUCAAUUUUCUAUAACUUUUCCAAUCUGGUUUCAAACUAAAAGCUGACUAACUGAGAUAGCUAUCAUCUUUACUCACUAAAAUCUGUAUUAAUUCCAAAUCUCCACAUUUGAGAGUUUUUCAAACUCCAAACCUUUGCAUGUCCUAGCUAAAUUCAUAGGAACACACUACAUUUAAGAGAUGGUGAUCAGCAAGCAAUAAUGAGUACCAAUAAAACAAAGUCCUAAAAGCCCAGCCAAUAACAAAAGAUGUUGAAUGUUUUAGUAAGUCAAUAAGAGCCAUCUACAUUACAAGUGUAUACUUUCUGAGAACUUUUUAAUUAGGACCACAUUAUUUUUUAAAUAAAUUUUUAAAAUCUAGUUAGAUGAAUACUACUGAUCUAAUUACUAAUAAAAUAAAAUGAAACAACAUUUAUUAGUAAUAAACACUAAAUAUAAUGGAUAAUUUAGGUGCUUUAUUCCUAUAGCUGAAAAAAAUAAGCAUGGAAAGUGUGAUCAAAUUACCUGAGGGUGCAAGACUUAGAAGUAGCAAAUUUGAAUGUGGAAGCUGCUAAAAAUAAUCUCUCACUUCAUAAGCAAUACUCCAAGUUCUGAACAUUCCCAUGACUAGAAAACCAAGGCACACAUUGAAGCAAGUUGAUAUAACAUUAAAAUUAUUUAUUUUUUUGAGUACUGGGGAUUGAACUCAGGGGCAGUCAACCACUGAUCCAUGUUCCCAGCCCUAUUUUUUAUACUUUAUUUAGAAACAGGGUCUCAUUGAAUUCCUAAGCAACUCACCAUGUUAAGGCUGACUUUGAACUUGCUAUCCCCCUGACUCAGCCUCCUAACCUGCUGGAAUUACAGGUAUCUGCCACCAUGCCCAGCAUAACAUUAAAAUUUAAAUAAGAAAAAAUGACCAAACAUGUCAAACAUUUCUUUAUUUAUGUCUUCAAGCAAUUAUUUUGAAUCAUUUGAAUCCUACAUAGAAACUAGAGGAUUAGAGAAAUUAACAACUAUUAAUAUUCAUUGGGUAUUAAUACUAUUGCCACACUUGUUAUCCACUUUCCUAAAGUAUCUUUAAUCCAUUAUAAAGCAAAUUGCAGAUGUGGUGAAAAUAAUCCCUAAAUAUUUCAGCAAGUAUUUUCUAGAAGCUAGGACAGCCUUCUACAAAAUGGCAAUAUUGUUACCAUACUUAAAACUUUCACUCUGAUACAAUAAUGUAAGAUUUUUAAAUUCUUAUAUUUGCUAGUAGGAAAAAGGGAUUACUGGAUAUAUUCUGGUAUACCCAUUAGUACUAUACUUAUGACUUUGGUAAAUUUUCUUUUGACUGGUAUAUUUUAUAUUACAGAUAUAUUUAUAAAAUAACAGAAGCUAACUUGUAGAUUUCUGUAUAUAUAUAUAUAUAUAUAUAUAUAUAUAUAUAUAUAUAUAUAUAUAAGCAUUCUGUUGUUGUGACAAAAUACCUUAGGUAAGCAACUUAUAAGGAGGAAAGAUUUAUAUGGGUUCACAUAUAAAUCUUUUAGAGGUUUCAGUUCAUAGUUGGUUGGCUCUGUUGUUUUGGGGCCUGUGGAUAGGCAGACAGUCAUGGAAGGGAGCAAGUGGUGGGGAAGCUUCUCAAGUCAUGACAGCCAGGAAACAAAAAGAGAGCAAGAGGAGGAGCCCAAGUUGCAAUAUGACCUUGAAAGACAUACCUACAAUGAUCUAACCUCCUUCCACCAGUCUCUACAUCUGAAAGCACCACAUUCCUCAAAGCACCACAGUUAGCAACCAAACCUUUAGCAUAUGGAACAUUGCGUGACAUAAAAGAUCCAAACCAUGACAGAUGCAAAUAAUUUCUGUUUUAAAAGAUAAGUCGAAAUAUGAUCAUUAAUUGCCCUAGUUCCUAUCUAAUCCAGCAAUAUUGUCCUAAUACUUUUUAAUUUGCCUGUAGAAACAUAAGUCUUAAUAUAAUAUUUAAAUAGACUUUAAAAGCUUACAUGUUGCCUUAUUAAUUGAUGACAUAUAUAAUAGUAUUUGAUGUUUAUAUUUAUGCAUGAUGUUUUAUAAUUCUCUGAAAAUUAGGCUUUUAUACUAAUUUUAUCAAAGCCAAAUUAUUCAAACUUCCCCAAGUAUCUCAAGUGUAUUCUUUGUACUUAUUUACUUAUUUAUUUGCUUUAUUGUUUCAACCCAGAAUCCAAUCAAACAUCCUGUACAGUAAUUAUUACAUAUGUCUCUUUUGUUUCUUUUAAUGUGAAAAUGGAUACCUUCCAUUUCACCCCUUUUUGAUUUUUAUAAUAUUGAAUUUUUCCUUUUGUUUUUAAAAAAUAAUGAAAAUUAAUUGUCUGAUAGACUGUUAUACCAUCUGGAUGUGUCUGAGUAUUUAGUCAUGAUUAAAGUAAUGUUAAACACUUUGAUAAUAAUACUACUAAUGAUAUUGUGCAUUGAUAUUCUAUCAGAUUCACAAAAUGACAAUUUUCCUGAGUUUUAAAGAUAAUGAUUAAGAUAAUUUCUGUAGGAUUCCUCUAGUGUAGAAAUCACAUUUUAUUGUGUAUCUGUUGGGUAUCAUUUUGAGAUUAUGUAAAUAUUCUGUUUCCCAAACUUUUAGUCAUCCAUUGAGCAUUUGAUGAGGAUUCCUGCAUGAGUUAAUUAUUACAUUGAGAUUCAUAAAACCAAAUCUUUAACAUGCCAGUGCAUAUGGGCAUUAUGAAUGGUUAAGGGAGUUUGGGAUUGGGAUCAAGAGAUGCAUGCAUGGAUUUGCAUACAUAGAUUAUGCUUCUAUGUAUUUGAUUAGAAUUCUCUUGAUUAGAAAACUAUUAGAUAUUUUCUUGAUUAGAAAACCAGCUUUAAAAAUAUAAAACAAGUAAACAAAUAUCAAAUUAACUUACCUUUAAAACUGCUAUUAAAUAUGUUGCUCAAGUUCACAGAAGUUAAGCUAUAAGUAUCUUUAUAAGUUUUAAAAAAGUAUCAUUAUCAGGAAUUUACAAUGGAGCCACAUGUAUCUUCUUGAACCUAAAUUUUCCAAUAUGUUUAACUAGGAAUAACAAUACCUACUUCAUAGAUUCAGAGAUGAAAAUUUUGCAUAGAACUACUUUGAGGAUCAAUGGAGAUAACAUGUAAAAUAGGAUAUUAUUUCCUGGCAGGUAAUAAUAAUUUCAAAAUAUCAGGAUUUUGAGGUUUUGUUUUGUUUUGUUUUGUUUUGUUUUGGAUUACAUUUCCUACCAAUAAUGUGAAUAUUUCCUUUUUCCUUCUUCUUCUUAAUGACUAAUAUAAAACAAAGAAAUAGAUGAAAUAAGAUCUAAGCUACUUUCAAAUAUUUCCCCUUCAUAUAUGAAAUUUCAACCAAGGAACCUGCUUUCUAUUGUACAUCCAUUUUCCUACCUUAAUUCCCUCUUCAUUGUUCUAAACAGUACCAUAUAAAAUCCUUGAAAAAUGUGGCUUCCAUUGCUAAAAAUCUCAACUUCAACAAGGUUUGGCAAUAGCGACAUUAUUCUACAUAUAUGGCAACACAUUCUAUGCUGUCAUAAAGUGAACAGCUACAAAUGAUAAGCUCUUCAGUGGAGGUCAGUAGUGGAAAGAAAUGUUUAACAGAGUAAUAAUUCCAGGGUAAUAUAUGGAAAAAAAGAAUAAAAUAACAACCACUAAAACAUUUCAUGUGUUUAUAAAAAAGUGUUUUUUCUUACAAGACUAGGAAAAAAAAUUUUGUUGACUUCUAUUUAUCUUAAAAAUCAGAAGUAUAAGUUUGCUUUAUGUACUGGACAAGUAAAUGUGGUUACAUAUUACAUGCACACAUGUGUGUGAUAGUGUGUACCCAUGUAUGGGUAUUGGAAGAAAGCCGUGUAACACCUUUAUCUAAGGCUCUGGUUUCAAAUUUAGACAAACCUUGGAAAUUUGAAUCAUCCCUAUCUAGAGCACUAUGGCUGGGAAAAGCAUCAUUUUGCAUAAAAUGCUUCAACUGCAUGUUCCCUUUUGUUUAAAUGUUGAGUUAGAAUGAAAGAAGUCAUGGAAAUAGUUUAGGAACUUUAACAAUUCCUCAUUGACACAUACAAAGGCUUGCUUUUAAAACAACCCAUCCAGUAUAAUCUUUGCACCACUUAGAGCACAACUAUAAAGAUUGUUCAUUUGGAAAGGAUAAAGGGAAUGUGGUGAUGUCUCUUUGUAAAUGAUUUAGCUCUUGUACUACUUGCUUUUUACUUUGAACUAUUUCUAUAUCAAAGUCAUGUCUAGUAAUGAAAGAGCUUUUGGGGGAUUUCUGAGUGACAGGUAGCAUUACUAAUAAAUUGCCUCAGAAUGUAAAAAUAUGACCCUGCAGGUAGUUCAACCACAUUGUUUGCAAACUGUGACUAAUAUAAAAUUCCAGCUUUUUUUUUCUUUCUUUUUUUUUUUUUUGCUAAGCACUCACCAUGGAACAAUACAGUUCCACUUUUUAGUGCUUCAGUGCUGAUUGUGUAGGUCACAAUUAGAGAUUCAGCUGGAGAUGAAUGGAGAAGAGUGUACUGUGCAAUUGGCUGUAACCGAUCUGACCCUGCUUGAUCCUCACUCCUUAAAAACCUGUGGCCUCCUGUAGCCACAUACAUGAUCGAGUCUGUGGCUAGCACUGCUUCCCACCAACCUUUUCAUCAGAGGCUUUUCCAGACUUUACUUUGCUCUGUGGCCUUAUCAAGGAGUUCAUUCUGAGCUGUCAUAAAUAGCAUCAAAGUUUGCCAGCACAGUAAGAAAAGUCACUUUGGGUAUCUUAGGAAAGAAGGCAAGACCUGUUGUAGAACUUUGUACAAAUCAGGUUUUUAAAAUAAAUGGAGAAUUGAAUUAGGAGAGAUGACAAAAGAAUGGAAUAAUAGGGGGAGAGAUACAAAGUAACUGUUUUAUAGACUCUAUUAUAUUACAAGGAUACAAUUUCACAAGUUUUAUUUAAUCCAUCAAGAUCUAGUUUACACAUGGUCCAUGACCUCUUGUUGAAAGAAGAAAACAAACAAGAAUCUGAAAUACUAUGUCACAAAUACUAUCCAGCUGUUUCAUGUUGACAUGAGAAAAAAAAAUAACAUCAGAAAAUUUCUCCAUGUAUAUAAGGUUAAACUUAGGAGUUUUCAAUGGAAUUUGUAUAUACCUUUUGAAUUUAGAAAAUUCAGUAAAUUUGAGCUAACUCCACUUUAUCCCAAUUGUUUUGUUAUAAUCAUAGAAUACAACAAUAUAUCAUCAUAUCCAAACGUCUAUAUUUUAAGAAAUGAAUGCAGUUAUAUUAGUAGUCUAUUUAUUUUUCAAAUAGGUUUAAUAUAAAAGACUGAUUUGGUUGACAUUUGGAAACACAGUAAUGGAAGUAACAGGACAUGAAUCAAUAACACAUAGUAAUUAGGAAGUAAAAUAGACUCAGCAUUCUGGCAUCCCUAAGAGAUAAAUUAUUCUGACAAUAAAUGUCCUAUUACAUCUCCCUCAAGUUUGUGCUCCAAUGACUGUGUUUGCUACUUUAUCCCUUGAACAUAGCUGUUAAAAUAGAAAUUCAUAAUCACAACCAUUUUGCAGCAUUAUAAAAAAUACCAAGUAGACUAUAACCAACAUUUUUUCUGUUCCAGAAAUUGAAUAUUUCAUGUUGAGAGGAGACUACUGUCCUCUCACUCUGGAUGUUUCUGAGUAAUGUUUAGCUCUCUCCUUCUCUCUCCUAAACACACACCCACACAGAGGCACACAAACACACACCAUAGAAACAUUUGUGAGUACACUGACUUACCACAAGGUUAUAUUACUUUAUUUUAAACCUUCAGAUUUGGGGUCAAUGAAAAGUUACAACCCCUCAAGAAAAACUGGGAGAAGUUCUGUCUCAUAGUUGCUACUGUGUCAGUAUAAAGCUAGCCUCACAGGUGCAGACAUCCUGGGAAAAUAGUCAAAAGUCUUUUAAGAGGCCAAGUGUGGAGAAACACAAAUACUUUUGAAUGCUCUAAAGGCUCAGGGUUAACUACUCCCCCAAGCAAUUCACCGUUUCCGUGUUAAUUCAGUUUGUAGAAACAUAUAAUUAGAAUCUCUAAUACCUGUAUUUUUCUUUUCUUUAUGAGAAAAACAUGUGGUGGUGCACAGAACAAUGAAUACACUGGGAAGGGAACCUUGGUGGGUGACUUUACAUUCUCUGCUGAAAGGACACAACUACUACAUUUCCAAUCAGAAACAAAGGAAAAUAACAAUUUAUUCCUUUAUUGGAAGUUAGCACCUCUCUUUCAAACUAAAAUAGGUGUUUCAUGUAGCAUAAGUAAUUUUGUUCUUUACAAGUGUUGAACUAAGUAGCCUGGGGAGUGUGCAAUUCUAGGCUGGAAAUUAAACCCAGGUUGCUCACUUAAUAGUAUAAUAUAUGACCAUGUGGUCAUGGGGCUGACAUUAGAAGAAUGCCUUUUAUCUCGAAAAUUAUAGAAGUACACUCUGAUGAACAACCACAACCACUUCUUAUAAAUGAAAAACUAUGUUGUGCAUGCUUUUAUAUGUAUCAGUUAUAUGCAUCAUAUGAAUGUACAAAAGGCAUAAAGUGUCAUGUGACUUUGUUUUAUUUAAUAGUAAAUAAUCUAUCAUAUAAGAAGAUAAAAUUAGUUUAUUGAUUCUUAUAUAUCCAUAAAAUAUUUAUAGUCUUGUAUUUUUCAUAUAACUUUGGCUUUAUCAGUGGAAAAACUGUGUUUAAAAUCAAUUAUGAUAUAAAUAAUACUACUUCAUAUAUGAUCUGUAUUAAUCAUUUUUUCCAAACAGAAGAAAAUGAGAACUUUUGAGAAAAGAUUAAGUAAAAUUUACAUUUGCAUUCUUUUUAGUAAAAUUAGUUCUCCUGUACUUUAUACCUCACAAAAGAUGGACCUUGGAAGCCACAGUACAACUCUAGAAAAUGAAGUUUUUGUAUAAUUUAUAUAGGUUCUAUCUAAAUUAAUUUGUUUCUAGACUAUUGGUCCUGCUAAUCAUGAACCAUAACCUUAUUUGGUGAGUAAGAAAAACUUCUCAUUUACUUCCUAAUUAUUAAUUUCUCAUGAUUGAGAAAACACAUUUGCUUUAUUCUUCUGAUUUGGAGACUAUUAAAUUAGACACAAAUAAAUUUGAUUUUUUUAAUUCAAGAGGAAUUAAAAUAAUAGGCAUCUUCUUUUCAUGGAUGAUUAAUUGAGUUUCAGGGAAGAUAACAAUUUCCAAACAUCAAAUCCCAAGUGAGUAUUGAGUUAAAUGUUAAUAAUGUCAAAGUUUCUUUUGCUCUCAAAUUUUUAUUUGAGUAGUUCUAAGAUGUCAAGAAAAUAACACAGGUUAGAUAUAAAAAGUGCCAUUGAGGUUUUAUGUAGUAUGGUAGGCCCGAUUUGAUGGAUGUUAGAGUGAUGCAGAAGCAAAAUGGAAGACUGACUACUAUGUAACUGUGAUUUUAAAGACUUCAGUGAGGAACUGAUAAAAUUUGAAAUGUGUGAUACCUCAGAAUUAAGAGAAAAGCAAUUUUCUAUGAAGUGGUGAGAAAUGUCACACACAAAGGCAUUGUCAGUCAGGGAAAAAAGGUGAAAAGAAAGCACCAGAUUCAUUUUUUUUUCUUUUUUUUCUAAUUUUUUAUUAUUGGCUGUUCAAAACAUUACAUAGUUCUUGAUAUAUCAUAUUUCACACUUUGAUUCAAGUGGGUUAUGAGUUCCCAUUUUACCCCAUAUACAGAUUGCAGAAUUACAUCAGUUACACAUCCAUUGAUUUACAUAUUGCCAUACUAGUGUCUGUUGUGUUCUGCUGCCUUUCCUAUCCUCUACUAUCCCCCCUCCCCUCCCCUCCCCUCCCCUCUUCUCUCUCUGCCCCCUCUACUGACAUUCAUUUGUCCCCCUUGUAUUAUUUUUCCCUUUCCCCUCACUUCCUCUUGUAUGUACUUUUGUAUAACUCUGAGGGUCUCCUUCCAUUUCCAUGCAAUUUCCCUUCUCUCUCCCUUUCCCUCCCACCUCUCAUCCCUGUUUAAUAUUAAUCUUGUUCUCAUGCUCUUCGACCCUACUCUGUUCUUAGUUACUCUCCUUAUAUCAAAGAAGACAUUUGGCAUUUGUUUUUUAGGGAUUGGCUAGCUUCACUUAGCAUAAUCUGCUCUAAUGCCAUCCAUUUCCCUGUAAAUUCUAUGAUUUUGUCAUUUUUUAAUGCAGAGUAAUACUCCAUUGUGUAUAAAUGCCACAUUUUUUUUAUCCAUUCAUCUAUUGAAGGGCAUCUAGGUUGGUUCCACAGUCUUGCUAUUGUGAAUUGUGCUGCUAUGAACAUCGAUGUAGCAGUGUCCCUGUAGCAUGCUCUUUUUAGGUCUUUAGGGAAUAGACCGAGAAGGGGAAUAGCUGGGUCAAAUGGUGGCUCCAUUCCCAGCUUUCCAAGAAAUCUCCAUACUGCUUUCCAAAUUGGCUGCACCAAUUUGCAGUCCCACCAGCAAUGUACAAGUGUACCCUUUUCCCCACAUCCUCGCCAGCACUUGUUGUUGUUUGACUUCAUAAUGGCUGCCAAUCUAACUGGAGUGAGAUGGUAUCUUAGGGUGGUUUUGAUUUGCAUUUCUCUGACAGCUAGAGAUGGUGAGCAUUUUUUCAUGUACUUGUUGAUUGAUUGUAUGUCCUCCUCUGAGAAGUGUCUGUUCAGGUCCUUGGCCCAUUUGUUGAUUGGGUUGUUUGUUCUCUUAUUGUCUAAUUUUUUGAGUUCUUUGUAUACUCUGGAUAUUAGGGCUCUAUCUGAAGUGUGAGGAGUAAAGAUUUGUUCCCAGGAUGUAGGCUCUCUAUUUACCUCUCUUAUUGUUUCUUUUGCUGAGAAAAAACUUUUUAGUUUGAGUAAGUCCCAUUUGUUGAUUCUAGUUAUUAACUUUUGUGCUAUGGGUGUCCUAUUGAGGAAUUUGGAGCCCGACCCCACAGUAUGUAGAUCGUAGCCAACUUUUUCUUCUAUCAGACGGCGUGUCUCUGAUUUGAUAUCAAGCUCCUUGAUCCAUUUUGAAUUNNNNNNNNNNNNNNNNNNNNNNNNNNNNNNNNNNNNNNNNNNNNNNNNNNNNNNNNNNNNNNNNNNNNNNNNNNNNNNNNNNNNNNNNNNNNNNNNNNNNNNNNNNNNNNNNNNNNNNNNNNNNNNNNNNNNNNNNNNNNNNNNNNNNNNNNNNNNNNNNNNNNNNNNNNNNNNNNNNNNNNNNNNNNNNNNNNNNNNNNNNNNNNNNNNNNNNNNNNNNNNNNNNNNNNNNNNNNNNNNNNNNNNNNNNNNNNNNNNNNNNNNNNNNNNNNNNNNNNNNNNNNNNNNNNNNNNNNNNNNNNNNNNNNNNNNNNNNNNNNNNNNNNNNNNNNNNNNNNNNNNNNNNNNNNNNNNNNNNNNNNNNNNNNNNNNNNNNNNNNNNNNNNNNNNNNNNNNNNNNNNNNNNNNNNNNNNNNNNNNNNNNNNNNNNNNNNNNNNNNNNNNNNNNNNNNNNNNNNNNNNNNNNNNNNNNNNNNNNNNNNNNNNNNNNNNNNNNNNNNNNNNNNNNNNNNNNNNNNNNNNNNNNNNNNNNNNNNNNNNNNNNNNNNNNNNNNNNNNNNNNNNNNNNNNNNNNNNNNNNNNNNNNNNNNNNNNNNNNNNNNNNNNNNNNNNNNNNNNNNNNNNNNNNNNNNNNNNNNNNNNNNNNNNNNNNNNNNNNNNNNNNNNNNNNNNNNNNNNNNNNNNNNNNNNNNNNNNNNNNNNNNNNNNNNNNNNNNNNNNNNNNNNNNNNNNNNNNNNNNNNNNNNNNNNNNNAAAAAAAAAAAAAAAAACCAUGGCCUAAUGCCCCUUUCCAAGGAAUUGCAUUCAAUCUAAUAUGUUGAUUUAGAUAUAAGGAAAUUAAUAUCCACAGCAGUUUGGAAUUUUCAAAACCAGUUGCCUAGAGAUUAUUGUCUGAAUCCUCUCUACCAUGCCACGUUAAAUGUUAGAAGCUACCUGUGCCUAUGCAUAUAAAAAAAAAUCAAAAGGGAAUAAAUUCAUGGUGAUUACUGGUGACAAAGUUUCCAAAGAAAUAUUCAGAAUUUUAAAAGAUAAGAAACUCUCAAUACAUGUUUUUUGAGCAGUGGACUAAUCCUUUCCACAUUUUUACCUUUGUCUAUACAUAACAAUUUUAAUCAGAAUAUGACAACAUAAGUAACAAACUCAAUGAAGUAAAUUCUUAUUAUUUUAUAUUGUAAGUACAUAGAAUUAGUUUUGUAAAAUUUGGAAUUUCUCAUCUGGUGUUUUGACAUGCUUUUAAAAACUUUCAUUAUAAACCUGAAAUGUGCUGGGUGCUAUGGCACAUACUUGCAAUCCCAGAGACUCUAGAGGUUAAAGCAGGAGGAUCACAAGUUCAAAGCCAGCUUCAGCAACUUAGCAAGGCCCUAAACAACUCACUGAGACCCCAUCUCAGUGGCACAGUGGCUCAGUGCCCCUGAAUUAAAUCCCCAGCACCAAAAAAAAAAACAAAAAAACAAACAAAAAAAAAACAAAAACAAAAAAACAAUAAAAAGCCCACCCUGAAAUGUAAAAUUUCAAAAUUUUGAAAAAUCUCAAUAAUAACUAUCACAUUUUCAAACUUUCUUAGCAAAAUAUACUAUAUUAUAUUAUACAUAUUAUGCUUCCAUUUAUACAACCAUUUAGUAUAGAACAAAAACAGAUCUGUUUAACUAAUGUUGGACAAUGAUACAAGGGCAUCAGAAUUCUGUGUGCCAUAUGCAAAUUAUUUAUUAUCUACUAAAUCUUGCAAGAAUUUAUGCUUGCUACAAAGCUGAUGAUGUAAAUAUUUUCUUGAUAAGAAAAUUGAGUAUUACAGUAUGGGUCCUAGAUAAGAUUUUUAAGUCAAGAAAGCAAAAUAAAGAUUAAUACAGAUAGAAAAGAAAAAAAUAUAUUAUUUUUUCUUCAUUUCUCCUUAUAUAUCCACCCUUUAACUAGAAGUUGUUUUCCAGCUACACAUAUUACAAUCUUUGCAAGUUAGGUUAAUGAAAGUCAAUUGGUUGAUAAAUGUUUCACUUAUUUGCCUGAAACAUUUUAUUUCACCUUGGUUCUUGAAUGAUAGUAGUUCUGGUUAUUGAAUUAGAAGUUGUAGAGUGAUUUACUUUCAAUAUUUUGAAGAUAUCACAGUGCCUCUGGCUUCUCCUUUUGGUGCUGAGAUAUUGACCUAUUGUUAUGCUAUUACUCUAUUAUUUUUGCCACUUCUAAAAUUUUUUCUUUGUCCCUGAGGUUUCAUUAUCUUUUAUACUACUAAAACACUAUAAUUACUAUACUAGAACUAUUAUAUAUUACUAUAAUAUAUUUUGCUCGGAAUUUGUUUUCAUUUACCAUUUUAGUGAUUUCUUGAUCUUUAUUCAGAAUAAAAAGCUGGUCAUCUUUCAUUUUUCUGUAAAAUCAUAUUCAUAAUUUCAUAGCUUACAAUUAUUUUCCAAAAUUCAUAAUUAUAUUCAAUUUUAUUUUCAAAUAUUGUCUUUGACUAUGCUGCUAAUCUUUUUACUUUGGAAUUUCAUUGCCUUAUUUCAGCCUUCUUCAAAGCAUCUUCUGUGCAGAAACAUAUAGUAUUUGAUAUGUGUGAUUAUUUCUUUUUGUGAAUUGUCUCAUGAAUAUUGUCUGAAUUUUGUCUUUUAAACUUGAUUCCACUUCAAUGCACUGAAUUUUUCACUUCAGUUACUUUUUUUUUUAUUUAUAAAACUUCCAUUAGAUUCCUUUUAAAGUCUUCACAGACAUUUUACAUAUUUGAUCCUCACUCAGAUUAAAGAAUUUUUAAUCUUCCUGAAAUAUUUAAGGCAUGCUUACUUAAAUUAUUUUACUAUUUAUACAAUAUUGGAUGUAUAAGUAUAUUUUUGCUAGUUUUCACUCAUGGUAUUUUUUUUAAGAUUUUUUAAUUUGUAUCUGUAUAUGAGUAUUCUGAAUUGAAGUUAAAGUUUUGUAAUGUAGAUUUUGCAUUUACCUCUAUUAGUUGUUGGGAAUCCUGCAAGUCAUAGAAAGUUGAGGAUCAAAUGUUCAUGAGGACCAUAUUAUGGUGAUAAAUUCUCAAAGGACAAUUGUUCCUCUUUACACAACACCAGUGACAUAAAGAAGUUUAUUUACUAUCCUGUAUGCUAUGGGUUUAUUGCAGGUGUAAUCCUUUGGGAACCCAGCUUUAUAGGGCAAUCUCCUAUCAUACCACAAGGCUUUAUCACAUUUCUUCUAUACCCCUGAAAAGCCAUCAAAAUGGAAAAUUGAAAGCCCCUGGGUUUGGUGCCUCAACAGAGGGUAGAAACUGGUUGUUGAGCACACCUAAUUCCUAGGGUCUCACUUUAACUAUUUUUAACCUGUAUGGAUUCUUUAAUUUAUUUCCACUUUAGAAGGGCAUUGUAAAAGAUAUUUGUUAAAUGUUAAGUAGCUAUAUUAAUACUUUCAUUGGAAGACCCAUUUGUAAUUUUGUCUAAUUGCUAACAAUGAAAGUUUUGUAUAUACUAUUUAUAAAACUCCAAUUACAUAUGCCUCCUUAUGUUCUUAUACAUGAACAUUGCUUUUUUAUAUCUCCAAGACAUAAAAUUUAGGUUUUAAAAAGUUAAUUUGUUGUUUUAAUCAGCCAUCAACUAUGGGUGCUUUGUUGAAAAUGAUGCAAAAGGUAAAUUAAUUUUUAAAUAUAGUUCAUUUAUGAAAUAAGCCUCUAUAAUUCCACAGAAAACUGGUUUCCUAUGAAUUAUAUCUUACACAUAGCACUCUAAUUUUAUCUUAUCUAUUCUUUGAAUGUGCAAAAUGUUAUAACCUAUUGACUGACAUGAAAAUAUUUCUUGACAAUGUAUAAAUUCCCAAUUUUCCAAAUCACAUAGUAUAAUCACAUGGAAUUGGUUGAAUUAACAGUCUAUAAGCACUUAGGAAUUAAAAAUGCUGCAACUGUCAAGUAACAAAAUACCUGACCAAUAGUAGUUGCACAUAUAAUGUCAUUUAUUAUAUAUAGAAAAAGAUAUAUACAGAGAAUAUUUCAUGAAUGACCCAGUAAUUAAUUAAUAGUACAAGGAUACUUACUGUUAGUAUAUUUGUCCUAAUCCUUUCUGCAUCUUGGGAUAAAUUGUUCCAUAGCUAAAAAUCCCUUUUGCAAGGCAGAAAAAAAUGGGAAAGGAGUAACACUAGUCAGCAAUUUCUUUGUGCCUAUUUCUUCUUGGCAAAGUAUCUUUGAACAAGAAUCCAGUGAAAUUUUCCUUUGGUUAUUUUGGCCAGCACUGGGCCACGUGACUAUUUCUGGUUUAAGAGAGAGAAGAGGAAUGAGAUCUUCUGGGAAUGGACAAGGGAGAAGGAAGUUGAGACUAGACAGUGGGAAACAAAUGAAAGGAAUCUAUAAUAGCACUGCCAUCAGUUAUUCAAGAGCCAUACUUGUUUUACCCAGAAGAUACCACCUCUUCUGCAAAGGAGAACUCUAACAGCUCAUCCCUAUAUCCAAUAUGACUCCUUUCCUAAGAAAUUUAGAUGAUGUGGGAGCUGGAGUUGUGGCUCAGUGGUAUAGCGCUUGCCUACGCGUGAAGCACUGGGUUCAAUCCUCAGCACCACAUAAAAGUAAAAUAAAGAUAUUAUGUUCACCUACAACUAAAAAAUAAAUAUUUAAAAAAGAAUUUAGAUGAUAUGCAUUAUGCCCUGGCAGCUUAGCUGUGAUAAUCACCACCUAGAAAUACAGGGUUAAAACAGAAAAUACUCACCUUUAAUGCAUACAAUAUACACUUUUGGAGAAGAAAUACUAGAAGAAAAAUUCUAGUGUAACUUAAUUUUUCAUUUUAAAAUAUACUAAUAACACAUAUCUUAUCUGCUAGAUGGUAAUGAGAGGAAAUCUUGGUAUUGAAGUAAGUUUCCAGAGAGCCAGUCUUUCUCUUCUUGCUUCUGACCAUACAUUUUCACUUCUGUCUCUGAGAGAGGAAUUUCCUCUUCUUUUCCUUCCCAUACACACUGGAAUUAGAGAGUGGGGCAGAUGCUCCUCUUGAAAGAAUCACUGUUUUAGCAUGUUUCUUCCCAUAGUUGCAAGCUUGGAGAUGCAGGAAUUUCCACAGGUAUUUUCUACCCAAAUUUUGUUUUUUUUGUUGCUAGUAUUUUCCCCUCAGAUACUAGUAUUCUUGAGUUUAUUUGCUUUGGGUCAAUUUCAUACUCCUAUAUCUAUGGCCAAAAUAAGUUGCUUAGACCUAGUAUCUACUACUGUGCCUUUGGUAGGUUUCUCCUGAUGAAAGGUGUUGAGGAUGGUCUGAGGCCCCAGUUGCCUCCUAAUAAGGUUGAUGCUGCCUUGUUUGCAGCUUCAACUUGGCGGAUACAUUGUAAAUGUUUUCAUUGUUACUGAAACUCAGGGAAAUUAGAUGUGUAGAAGUGUAGCUAGUAAAAGUGAAACAAGGAAAGAGAAGACAUAUAAUUUAAUUAGGUAUCUUUGAUUGGAAAUGAACAAAACAAAGCAAACUGAAGUUGACUUUUCCAACCUAGCCAAGUUUCAAAUUAAGAAGGUGGACUCUCAGUUAGCCAGGAUUGUAAACCACAAGCAGAGCCAUGUUUUCUUUUCUCUGUGCUUUGUACCUAGCUUAUUUUGAGUCUAACUUCAUUAGUCUCUCUUAACUGUUUCCUCUCAGGAAGCUUCCAAAGUAACAAACUCAGGACAGCAUCCUGACUUUUUAACGUGUCAUUCACCAACAUCCAACCUCUAUUAGCCCAUUGUUUACAUCUCAAAAUAAUGUCUCACCAAAUCUUAACAAGGAUCUCCAAAAGGCGGGACUAGUUGUUCCCUCCCUUCAUCCUGUGGUCAAGCAGUACUACAUGUAGAGGUCCUUGUAUCAAUCCAAAUCUGUUGCUCUGUUCAGAAUACACAGUGGCAUUUACAGAGGUCAUGGGGAUCUGAUAUGUCUGAAUGUCAAGUUAAAUGUGAUUAAAUGACCUUAAGCUCUACAUAUGCUGAGUCAAGUAAAUAGUAGCCCUUCAAGAAGAAAACAGACAGGAAACAACAGAAAAGUUAGAUAGUGUUCUUAUAAAUUAAAUUUACAACCAGGACUAUUUUGUAUUUCUCUUAGCAAAGGAGUUAAUGCUCCUUUGGAAUUCAUUCAGUAAUUGUUCAUUGGAAUUCAUUCAGUAAUUGUUUCUCAGCUGUUUUAAUGAUAAUAAUUAUUAAAUUUUUUUCACCAGUUUUUUUUUUUUCAUUUAGCAUAAUAUUUUAAAAAGUACCAAUAAAAAUAUAUCUUGUACUACCAGGUGUACAAGAGAAUUCCUACCAGUACGGCAACGGCAUUGGAAAGUACCAUAAACUUCUCAAUAAAGCAUUCAAGAUAACUGGUAGUUAUGCUUGGCUUAUGAAUAUAAACUAUCUCAGAAACAUAAUCCUUUUUAUUUUUCAUUUAUUUACUUUUUAUUUUGUGCAGAGGAUAGUUGUGACUAUAUGUAAAAACAAUCAUGACAAACUGAGUUUAACAAGUCAAAAUAUAGAAAUAAGAUUGACAGAAAAAGGUACAAAAUUAGUUGUAGUUUCCUUUCAAUCUCAGUUUGCAUAGGCACAGUCCAGUUAUAUAAAUUUUGAGUGCCAAUGAAUGUAUUUUAAAUAUUUUGCGGGGUAUAGUAUAUAUCCUCCCCCCCUCAGUUUUAAAAGCUUUUACAUACCUAUAUUUCAGGUUCUGUUUAAAGCAUAAAUAUUCCUUCAUCCUGAUCAUAUAUAAGUUAAGAUUAUUCUUAACAUGGUUAUUCUUAUAUGCAGCAAGAAAGUAGGGGAAAUUCAUUUUCAUUAACUAAACAAUGUGUAAUGCACAGAAGAGUAUGCAUAACCUUAUGUUAUACAUAGGGGGGGUGUCUCCAAUCAGCAUUCAGCAUGUAUGUUUAGGAUCUUUGUACAGUUUUAUUAAAUUUGACAUAUUAAUGUUGCUAAAGCUUCAGAGAUUUAUGAAUUUUUUCCCUACCAGCCUGGGCUAGACUACUCAGAAGCCAGGUGUGUACCAUUGAGUUACAAAAUUACAUACUUGAAAAUCAAAAGGGGGAAAUGACACCAUAAAAGCUACACAGUCGAAAAAGCCAAAUGCACUCUCAGGGUGCAUCAUUACAUACUUCAGACUCACAAAAUAGGCCUUCUUCCUGUAAACAUUGGGUAGAAAAAUCAGAGAGUAUAUCACAUUGACACUUGGGGAGAGGUACAGGGAGAUUAGAUUCACUCUAGCAAUUUUCUACAAGAGUGGAACAACUCCAAUAUAUCUAGAAGGUCAAAGUCAAAAUAAACUUUGGGUAUACUUCUUCUAAUCAGGAAAACUCCUUCAAUAUAUUUUCCUUUGAUUGAUUUUGUGUUAGACAAGCAUAGAAAGAAGUUCUGUUCGCAGAACUCCAAAUAUUUUAAAUCCUGGCCACAGAGAAGAAAUGGGUCCCUUCCUCUUAUGUCUUCCCCCUCAUAAUGUCUCCUUUUUGUAACUUGUUCCUUUGUAAUUAUAAAGGGCAGAUUUUGACUUUGAUACUCAAAUUGCUACAUGUGAUCAUUACAGUUAAGGAAGCAUCCCAAUUAGCUUUCACACUUUUAUUUUCCUAAUCAUACUAAUGAAGCUUUGUUUCGGCCCGGCCCUUGGGAACAGGUAAGGAAAAUGGAAGUUUUUCUAGAAUCAUACAACACUUCAGAGGAAGUGCUCCUUAGUUUAUCAGAAACUAAAGGCUUCUUAGAUAUUAGAACUCCUCUAAUAUUCUAUAAGCUACUGGAAACUUAUUUAUGUUUCUAUUAUUUAUAUUUUUAUUCCUAGGACCUUGUACAGUUUCAUAAUAACAGAAAAUAUUGGAUACAUGAAAGUAUAAUCAUUUUUCUUUUCUAUUGAAAGUUGAAUAAAGAAUUACUGCAAAUUCUGAUGAUAGUAACAGCCUAGUUGUCUGGAAAUACAGAAAGUGUAUAAAAUUAAGAUAUUAUAAAUUAAAAACAAUUCUAGAAUCAUUCAAUAAUGGUUUUAAGUGAAAAGAAUUCUCAUGCAGUUCCUAAGCUAAAGCAAAUGUGCUUUAAAACAGUACAGAUUCAAGAGGAAUUACCCUAUAAUUCCUUUAGUCUUCAAAAAGCAUACAAUAAUUUCCAUUCCUCUUGAAAGAGAAGUAUAGAAGCAAUGAGGUUAUGGUUACUUAACUACCAACUUCCCUGAAAACAUCUAAAUCCAGGACAGCUUAAGAGCCAGGUAAAUAUUUUGGAAAAGCUUUUUAAGCUCAGAUUUCUUACUUGAGUUAAGAUCCUACCUGCCAACUAACAGACUUUUCCAGAGACACUGAGAUUCAAAUGUUUUGAGAUCAGGAAAAGUCUGUUCAUUGUUUCUCCUUUUUUUUUUUUUCCUCUUUCUUCCCCCAGAGUACAAGUAUUUCUCCAUCACAAACUACUUUGUUUUUAAUGUGAGUUCUAUCUUGUAUAUGUAUUUAGCAUGAUUCCUUUAAAUAGGUUAUUACCUUUUGUGCACAGGUGGUAAACUUAUCUCCCAUGUUUUUUAUAUACCAGCCUGGAAUGGGAAGCCCUGAAGAGUAACUUCUAAUGGUAUCAUUAAAAUGAUUGUAAACAUGCCUUUUGUGGCAGAUGCGAGCCUUCUUUAUGUUGAUAUAUAUUCAAAUUGUUUGGUAAGAUCAAAGAAAUGUAGAGUUUUAAAAUGUCAAACAUGUCCCUGUUCUCAACAGUUUCUGUUUUUAAAUAACUCUGUUUCUUUAGAAGUCAGGACAGCUAUAAAAGAGCCAGACUAUGGAUCAGAUUCAAAGUUGAAACUCAUUUUAUCUGAUUUGAACUAGAGCAGAACUGUCUAUAUGUGUGUCAUUUAUCAAAUGUUUCCAAUAAAAAGAGAUUAAGCAAGAUAUAACAGUAAUGUAUUAAAAUAAAAUGUUAGGAAGCCAUGUUGUCUAUUAAUUAAUCAAAAUUACUGUUACAUUUUAUUCAAACAAAAUUAAAUAUUUGGUGGGUCAUUAAAUGUACUCCACCCUUCUCUUAACCUUGUCACCUCUCCAUCACCAUCUCUCUUCCCCUUAAUUAAUAGUUAACUUGUCAUGGUUGUCACACCAUGUGUUGUAAUUUCCAGAUCAUUUAAAAUUAAUUCUGGUUAGCCAGUUAAAUUUGAAGUUUUUCAAGCAAAAUUUUAUUUUAUUUUUUUUCCAAUGGCAAAAUAAGAAGAUUAUUAUGACAGAAUUCUACUAAUAUUUGAUCUCAAUAGAAAAUUGUGACUUCAAUAUCUACAUUAUUUGUAUGGAAGUAGAAAAAAUAUAAAUGCAAUGUGUUUCAAAAUUAAUGUCAACAUACAUGAUAUACUUCAUAUAUAUCUGGUAUUUUGUUAAAAUUAUCCUAUUUAACCUCUAAUAAUAAACCAGCAUUCUUAGCUUUUCAAAUAUAUUUUCUAUUUUUUUUUCCAUUUGAGAUUUUGUUAUUUACAGUGUUCUACUUUAAAAUAGAUAUAUAUUUUAUAGUGUUAUUUCUGUAAAUAUUUAGGGAAAUGGUAUAUGGGGUAUAAUCCUCUUCUGUAAAGCUCACUGAAAAUUCUAUUAUUAUUCCUUACAUUUCUGGAUUCCAUUGAAACUAGUUUGAACCUCGUUAACUAUUUUAAAGUGAGGAAAGACAUAUUGUGUGUUCAUUUUCUGGCUGAUAAUGAUAAAAAUCUCUGUGAUCCUUCUUUAGUUUCUCUCUUUGCCUAUGGUAGUGACCACUGUAACCAAAAGACCUGAAAAGAACAAUUAGAGGAGAUUUGGGGCUUAUUUUGGGUCUCACAGUUUUAGAGUUUAUUUUGGGUCUCACAGUUCACAGAGUUCACAGUCCAUAGACAACUGAUUCCAUUGCUCUGGACUAGAGGUGAAGCAGAACAUCAUAGCAAAAGAGUGUGGUGGAGGAAAGUAGCUCAGGGCAUGCAGCAGGGAGCAGAGAGAGAACUUGAUCCAUUCUCCAGGGACAAAAUAUAUACCCCAAAGGCAGACCCCAAAUAACCCAACUCCUCCAGUCACACAUUACCUGCAUACAGUUACCACCCAGUUAAACCAUUCAAGUGGAUUAACACAGAGAUUAUGUCAAUGCUGUCAAUCAGUUUGCCUCUAAAAUUUGUUUCAUGGUCUCACACAUGUGCUUUUGGGGAGCACUCAAUAUCUAAACCAUAGCAACCACAAACCUCAAAGUGUCAAGGUACAAGAGGGACCUCCAAAGAGUGAUUCAAGCAGUCCCUGGAGAGAAGCAGGAACUCAACUCAGGAAGAGUAGGAUUCUUGGCUUACAUAAGGGGAAAGAAUUUCAGCAUGUGCCAGUCAGAUGUGUGAACAGGGAUUUAUUUGGGAAAGUAGAUACACAUUUAAGGGAGAAUGCCUGCAUUUCAAAAGAGAGAUGACUUUGGGGUUAAAGCAAGCAAAAAAGUAUACAUUCAAGAGAAAAUGUGGACCAUCUGCAGAAUGAGAAAUGCACUCGAUGUUGUGGGGUGGAUUACUGUCUCCUCUUUUAAAGGGAUUUUCUCAAGUGGUGGGUUUGGGAAGGAAUGUAGGAAUGAUGUCAAUCUAAUGAUCUCAUGACAGGCUUGGUGGUCAGUCAAUCUCUGAAUCCUUAGGCUAAUGUGGUCUUCAUUAUCUGAUCAAUGGAUAGCAUUGGGAAAUCCCCUAAGUUAUAGGUUUCUCUAAAUAUCUUAUCUCUUUUUACUUUAUUAAUGAGAGGUAUGCUAAUUAAUACAGCAUAGGUAGAUGUACAGAUUUUCUGAAAAUUUGGGAGUGACAGGUCUAGAAAAGCAGGCAGAACUUCUGAAUUAAAAUCUUAUUUCCUUGUCCUUCCUUUAUGUUUCUUUUCUACUUUUUUUAUUUCCUCUAUUGUACCUCAAAAGUAUCUGAAUUAUUAAUUAUUGAAUUGUUUUAGGGGAAACAGUGCUCUAAAAGUUGCCCAAAUAUAUCAUGAAUUUGGAAUGAAUCAGAAAUUAGCCUUUGUUACAUUGAGCAUUGAUGUGUGAGCAAUUUUGUUUCUUUCUAUUGCAGCCUUUCUUGGUCAAUAUAGAAUUUGGAAUCUGAAGUAAUAGGCUGUUUAGAAAACCUUAUAUAUUUGGCAUUGUCUGAGUGAUCCUGUGAUAGGUCAGCACAAAGAGGGCUGAUAUUACAGGCUUUUAAAAUAUGGAGAUUCAUCCUCUACAGUACAAAACCUUAGAGUAACAUAACAGGUCAUGCAUCUAACAAAUUUGUGAUUUUGAUUUGAAUCCUGAAUGUUAAUAUGUAUGAUUUGUUAUAAAGUAUAUUUGGCAAGGUAUAGUAUGAAAAAACAGGCUUAGAAUAGAACUGACCAGUUUGAAAGUAGAAGUAAAAGAGGUAGAGAGAUCCAAAUCCUGAGACUUUCUGUGUUGGAACAAAAUUGCUGCAUGACCUAACAAACGAUAAAUGUGAAAAAGUCUUAAAUAUUAAUGUGGAAUUAUAUGGUAAUAUUUUCCACAUUAAUUACAUUGAGUCAAAGUAAAGAAUAGGUUAAGAAUGUGGCUCUCAAGAAUUUGGUAUAAUGAUUUAAAAGAAAGAUCAGAUUAGGGGCUGGGGUUAUGGCUCAGCAGUAGAGCACUUGCCUAGCACGUGCAAGGCCCUGGGUUUGAUUCUCAGCACUACAUAAAAAUAAAUAAACAAAAUAAAGGUAUUGUGUCCAACUACAAUUAAAAAAUAUUUUUUUUUAAAAAAAGAGGGAUCAGAUUAAAUGUGGUUUUCCUGGGAAAUUCAAACAAUUUCUUUGCAACACUGUUACAUUGAGAGAAUGAAAGAGAAGAACUGAAUAAGAUAGAAUGAUCUGGGUAUGUUCCAUGAACAUGGAGAAGACUGAAAUUAAAGUUUACUGGGUACUUGACACUUGUACUGGCAAAAAAAAAAAAAAGGUAUGACUUUGACAUCCUUAAAAAAAAAAAAGAUUGUUAUAUACUUAAAGUGACUCUAAAUCCUCUAAGAUUCUGUGACUGGCAAAGGUCCUGGGAUUCCAAGUAGAGAAUAUUCCAUACCACCCACUUCUCGUAGGUACAACAAACAUAAUGAUAAAGAAAAAGCAAAAAGCAUUCUUAAAAAUGAAACCGGGAUAAAUAAAGAACAGUAGACUCUUACUUCUCCAAGGGAAGGAUCUAAAUUCCAUGGAUCAACAUUCUUCAGUCCUACUUCAGGACCUGCCAGAUUGCCUUCUCAUCAGAAGGAAAAUGUCUACAGACUAGGGUCUUCUGUGUGUUUCUCCUUCUUCCCCUCUUCAAAUGGUGUCUGUUCUAUUUCUGUUCAUUUUGAUGAAUGUUUAGAUUAUUCAUGUUUAUUGUGUGUCCGGGGGAGAAGGGGGUUUCUUGUUUUUUUCAGUUUAUAUGUCCCAAUAAAGAGUGGUGACAUAUGCAUGAGAUGCUCAUACAUUAGCCAGAGUUCUGGGUGAAACUGAAGCAUGGAAUGGAUUCAUCCUUUAGGUUGUUUUAAUUUAGAGAAUAGUUUGUUGAGUUUGUUUCUUUGUAGAUUAAUGAAAACAAAGGAUAUUUGGUGACAAGAGACAGUACCCAAAUUAUAUUUCCCCACUACUCCAUUACUCCUCUACAUUUGAUCGGAUUUGAUUUACAGGUCCAAAACUUGCUCUGUCAACAAAAGUGAGCAGAAGUGACACGUGUAACUUUCAGGUCAGGAGAGAUUGACUUAUAUUUGUCUCUGUAAUCGCUCUCUUUCCUUAACUUGGCAACGAAGGCCUGUGUUGAGAUGAUGCAGUCUCAGGGUGAAGCAGUCUGUAUCACUGAGUUACUGCACAGAGCAUAGUGGCCUAGAAUGUCAUGGGGCUCUGCAAGGCACAGUGUAUUUGUUUGAAUGAGAAAUAAACUUUUGUUGUGUUAAGCCUCUGAGAUUUUAUUGUUGUCACCACAUAGCCUUGCCUUUCUUGGCUCACAUACCACUGUUACCAUCUUUAAUGUAAAUUAUAGGAAAAAAAAUACUGCUUUUUGUGUUUAGACUGAAUAGCAUGUUUGACUAGUACUCUUAACAAAUAUGUUUGAUCAGUUUUAUUUUUACAUAUUAUUAUGAUCUCUCUUCUACUGUUUACAUGUUACUAUGCUAGAACUGUUCUUUCUUAGGCUGAAAAUGCUUUGAUACAUAGACCUAAAAUAAAGUUUAACAUGUUUAACAAAGUCAAAAUUAUGUGAAAACCACAGAUGAUUAUUUUUAAAUUUUCUGGUGUCAUAGAAAAGUGAUCCCUGCCCCAAUACCUUCACAAAAAUAAAUGGAACAAGGAACCAAUGAGUUAUUUAAAGGACUCAUUAACUUUCAUAUGACCCUAUUUGUAAUUGAGACAGUUGUGUCCUAGAAGUACCCUACCAGAAAUGAUUAAUGAGGUUUCCAAAUAUCCUAAAUUGACUGACAAGGAAGGGAGUAAACCUGAGCUUUAGCCAAACCUGUGAGGCCCAGGCAAAAGAGGAGACUUAUGUCUUAAAUAAUUAAUGAUAGUAUUUAAUACUAAGCUUUUACAAAUGUAAUUAUUUUUCUUAAAGCUUAAAGAGCUGAACGUACAAAGUCAGUGAGGAGGUAAAUUUAUGAAAAAUUUCUCUUUAAAUUAUUCAAAGAGCAGAUUUCAAUACAGAAAUAUUUUUCUUAUUUAUGAUGUCAAUGGACUUUCCACAAAUGCAUUGUAUAGGACAAAAUAACUUGUAAGAUAUUUUUCCAUUUCUUUUUCUAUAAAUUAGUUAAGAUUUUUUCUAUAUCAUCAAAGUUUAUAUGACAAUCUGUUCUAUUUGAUCACAGUUUAUGGCUCAUUUGAAUAAAUUAUAAUUAGACCUCUUCCUCUGUUACCUAAGGACUAAAAUUAUCUGCAUCAGUGAUUAAAUUCUCACUAUUUCUAGUGUAAAUUUGCUACAGUUAUUACUUAGAAGUAAAAUGUUAAAAAUGAAUUUGAGAAAAUGUUAAUAUCGCUAUAUCUUUUUGUAAAUUAUCUUUUUUCAAACUUACUGAUCAUCAAAAAAAAUUUACUGAACUUUGGAUGUUACUUUGUAAUUAAACUUAAGUUCUUAGGCAUGGAUAGAUCAUCCUGGAUUAUCCAAGUAAAUCCUAUCUAUUCACAUGAGUUCUUAAAAGGAAAGAACAUUUUCUAGCAGUGUUCAGGAAGAGAUGGGCUUGUGUGAAAGAUUCAGUUUCUUGGUGCUUGUCCUGAAAUGUAGGCAUCAUAUGAGGACCAGAGAGAGACUUUGGGAACUGAAAAAUCCAAGGGAAUGAAUUCUCCCCCAGAGCCUCCUCUGAGGAACUCAGUCCUGCUAACACCUUAACUUCUUACCUGUAGAAUGGCCACAUAGUAUAUUUGUGUUGUGUUUAACCAAUAAUGCUUUAUUAGUUUUUCACAGUAGCAGCAGAAACUUGACACUCAUACUAAAUCCAUUUUAUUUUCCUGAAUUUCUUGAUGGCUUCUAUUGAAGUGGCCUCACCCUUCUUUCAUGCUUGCCCAAAAUGCAUUUGUAAAUUGAUAGUUUGAGCAAACCCUGGUCGUCUCUGAAGAGCACUCGAAAAGUUUUUCCGUGGUCCAUACCAUAUAGGGGAACCCUGAAGGGUCAUUCAUAAAGAGCUCAUCCAAAUUAAUUAUGUUGCUAAGCUGUAUUGUGAACAUAUCAUAGGAGUGAUUCACAUUUAUCCUUCUUUUAUGUCUUCCACUGUACCUGGGACAAUGUACAUUUUUAUUGCAUUAAAAUCAUCUGCAUCAAUGAAAUAAUAACCGUUUAAAUAUUUUCAUUGUAAGAAAAUAUCCCUUCAUUUCCAUUUGUUGUAUCAUCUUUAUGAUUUUUGUUAUAAUGUAAAUAAUGAAAGCAUAUUUCAAAUCAGUCUCAUUUAUUUGGAAACAUGUUGGACUAAAUAUUCUGAUUGCACAUAAAACCUACCAUGAAAUUUCUCAUAAUGCCAUGUACAAGAAAUAAGAUUUUUGAAGUCUAAUGUGUUAAAUUCAGUCUCAUUCCAAACUGAUAACUUUCAUUUACAUUUUUUAAAUUUGAAUCAAAAUAGCCCCAAAUUAGUUGCCAAAAAAAUCUAAUUUAUGUUUUUAGCAAUUGUGUGUGAGUCAUGCUGCCAGUGUUUUUGCCUUCCUUCUUACAAAUUGUGCCUAAUUGGAAAAUACUGUGAGCAAUAAAAUAUGAAGAGAAAAGCCACCAGUACUUUGAAGUUUAUUGGUUACAAAAUUGAAUGGGUUUUCCCAUUUUAAUUUUGAUGAGCAUAGAGCUUAAUUUUUUUCCUAUGCUUCAGUUUCAUCAUUUCAUUCUAGUUUUGGAAUAGCUGGUGAUUUAGGGAAUAUUUUUCAAGACCAGACCACUUCCUCAAAUCCAAGCUUUGUUCUUAUAAAUAGAUACAAUUAUGUUCAUAUGUUUGGUAGAUGAAUCCAGUAGAGUGCGUGUUGAACAUAAUCUCUCAUGGGGAGUUUACUCAAUUCUUUGGAAUUUCACUCUUGAAUUUGAUCAAUGCAGACAAUUCAUUCUGAAAAAUAUUUUUUUUUCUUGAUGACAACAGACUUUUCCCAUAAAUAUACUUCAUCUCUAAUGUAUAUACUUAAGUGUACUAGACAAGUUUUGGAGAUACAAACAAUAGAAAUGUAAAUUAACACUAUUAGUUAUAAACUCUUAACUGUUAAAAAGUUUAUUUCUUGCCCAUUUGAUGAACAAAGUGGCAUAUUUGAACAAUGUAGCUUGGUAUUUACCACCCAUAAUAACCUCAGUGAUGUUGCUUUUCCCCUCAAAAUGUCUGAUUUAAAGAACUUGUUCAUAUUGCAAAAAUUUGUGUUAUCUCCCCAGGAUUACAGACAAGGAGCCAUAGUAGAUAUAAUUCUGUCAUUUGCAGAUUCUAUAAUGGAGUGGCUAGUCCAGUCUCAUUGAUCUCACAAGUACACUUUUUUUUUCCUGCUUCCUUAUACACUGUCAGUGUACUUUAAAAACAAUCACUUCUACCGCAUUUACCUAGUAUCACCCAUAUGAAGCUAUCAGUUCAUUAGUCCAAUUAUUGGAAGUUUGCUGUUUUGAUUUUUGCAUUAAGUCAAACACUUCUGUGUUAAUAUAAUAUGCUUAGAUAUAUUUUAAUUAGAUCAUUGUGAUGUUUCUGAUAGGACAUUUCUAAAGGAUUAUUUUAAUACAAUUAUAAUUGCAAAUAAAUAUGAAAAUGGGAAAAUAAGUGAAAUGCCUCUAUACCAGAGGUAGUUUUUAGUAACUUAGUCAUUGUUCUUUGAAACAUGCUGUUGUACAUAUUCAUACCCAAAUACACAUUCAUGUAUAAUAUUUAAGACUAUAUUAAAUACAAUUUUAUAAUUUUAUUCUUAAUAAUAUAUUAUGGAGUAAUGUUUUAUAUACUGUCAGUCAUUCACACAUGCAUAUAUAUGUAUAAGUAAUAUAGAUAUAUAUAUAUAUAUAUACACACAAACAUAUGCAUGCAUGGAUUCCUAAAAUAAAUAAGAAAUAUAUGUAUUUAGUAUGUAUACAUCUUAAGUGAAAUAUUAAUAUUUUCUAAUGAUAUGCCUUUUUAAAGGAUAUGCAUGUUUUCCAUUUCCACUUUUAUUAGCAGUACUGCUGUGCACAUCCACAAGGAUGUCUUUGCAUACAAUCUUAUUGUUACUACUUGAAGGAACUCCUUGGAAUGGAACUUUGGGGCUAAAAAUAUAUACAUCAAUACAUAGUACCUUUAAGAAUUCUACUAUUGGUUUUUGUCCCCAGUGGCAAUAUAGUGUCUUAAAGUUUGUAUGAGUUUCAUUCUGUAUUUACAGUUUUUCUUCUCUCAGGUACUGCCCAUGUGAUGCUGCCUGAAGCUCCUUACUCUCCCCUGAUCUCAUGCCCAGGCCUUCUUGAUUAUACUUUCUCUGUGACAGUUUUACUCAGGCUCUUUCUUCAAACUUGAGGACUACCUGGAUGAACUUUUCCCUAUAGGGAAAAUUUCAACAACUACUUACUUUUUAAAAGAUAAGAUGAAAAAUAGGGAUAAACUGUGCAUACUAAUGAAUUUAAUUGAAACUUUCUUUGACAAUAAUAAUGCUUACUUUUAUUUGCAUUGUACUGUGCAAAGAACUGGAUAUGCAUCAUAUAAAUAAUUAAAUGCUACUAUUAAUAUCUUCCUUUGAAAUAAAAACCUGAAUCACAGAAAACUUUAAUUAUUUUCCAAGGACAAUUAGCCUAUGAAUAGCAAAUUUGUGCUUAUAUCCAUGGUUGUAUGAUUCCAGUUCUAUUCUUAGCUACCAUGAUAUACAGUCUGCAUUUGGAGGUUAAUAAAUAAAUUUAGAACUUUUUCAGUAAUUCAAAAACAUCAUUCAAGAAAUUAAUUUUACUGAUAAAUUAUUAUAUAAUGAAGAUUUUAAUGAGCCAAUGUUGAUUUUAUAUCAUUUUAGUAAAUAUCUUUUAUUAGAUCAUAAUACAAGGUCAUUGAUCCUAUUCCUCAUUUUUCUUAUAAUGGUAAUAAAUAUUCUCUAAGAGAAGAAUCGUCAGAAGUAUGUUCGUAUAAUUAUAAUGAAGUAAGAAUUUAGGUAAACUUGUAGAUAACUAAUUUCUUGUUAUUUGAGAAAUUGUUCUCCUCCAGGUUUAUUAAUUAGCUGACGUGCCAUAACAAGCCAUUGUAAAUCUGAUGGUUUUAAAACAACCCUCAGCUCAGACAGCUGGGUUCAUUUGAUACAAGUUCAUUUUAGCUUCUUCAGGUUAACUGGGUUACUGACCUGGUCUGGGGUGAGCUGGGAAGUUUGACCAGGGCUUCUGCAUCACACAUAUUUCUCAUGACUUUUUGAGGACCAUAUGGUUAGCCUAAGCAUAUCCAUCUUCUGGCUAGAUCAGAAACUCAAGAAAACAAAUGGAAACACAACAUUCCUUUUGAGGCCUUGGCUCGCAGCGGGCACACUGUAACUUUUGUCUCAUUCUGUUGUAUCAAAUUGGUAGCUAAAGAGUGAGAAAUAAGAUCUUCCCAGUUGUGGGAAGAACUGAAAAGAUAAAGAACAUGAAGAUAAGAAGGAGGGAAGAACUGGGGACAUAGAGUAGCCUACCACCAAAACAACUGCAUUUUUAUUUGAAAAUAUAUUCUUUUUUUUCUCCAAUUAAAAUUUCAACCUAUACUCUAAAUUAUUUGAUCAUAGGAUGCAAUGCAACUCAAUUUCCCAAGGGAAGGUGGGUUGAUGCAGACUUUCUGGUCAGGUUAUUUCUUCCUAUGAAAUGAUAUUGCUCAGAUUCUUUAAGAGCCUCUCAUGUGUCUCUCUAGGUUCAGUUUUCAGCACUAAAACCUCUCAGGCAGUGACUCAUUGGACUAGUCACCACUAUAUCCACCCACUCAACCUCAUGCCACAGCCGCUGAAUCCGAAGCUGCUGUGUCACAUUAGCAUGAAAAUUGUAGAAUCUAGAAUUCCUAUUUAACUUGUGCCAAGAAACCAAACCUUAACCUUAUAGUAUAAGGGGAACAUUUGAGAGUAAUUGUCUGUAAGAAAAACAGCUUGUUUGCUGGGGAACCAGAUCCUAAGGUAACUAUUACUCACUCACAGUGAGUUAAGCAGAAAUUGGAGGACGGACUCACAGACCAGGAGGAUGACUGAAGAUAGAAAGCCGGAAAUGUCUGAAGCAGCUGAGGGGGGUGAACAGAUUUCGUCUAAAAAGAUAAGACAGCUAAAUAGAGAGUGAGAAGACAUGAGCCAAAUUUGCACACACAAAUAAUGGAAAUAAUCUCUAAGAAUCCAAUUUGGGAAGAAGUGAGGGAGAUAAGAGUGCUUUGAGUGGCUAGUGAUGAGAGAACACUGGGUUUAGCGAUGCAUGAGAAAUAGACCACUGUUUCUAAGGUGCCAUAGAAGAGCUCACCAGCUGGGAAGGAAUGUUCUUUUUUUAAGCCAGUUUACUAAGAAAGUUUAGGUUUUUGUAAAGGUCAGAUAUAAAAGAAGGUUUUUGUUUGCUUUGCUUUUCAGGAUAUUUUAAC
rnacentral:lncRNA from 1 species